UUCCCCUUGGAAGCAUGCCUGACAAAAGAUUGUUACUUAUAUCAAACCACAAAAAUGAUGAUGCAAGAGAAAAGGUACCAGAUACUUGUCCUGCAAAUUUGUUUCCGUCGAGAAAGAGGUACUCUAGGUGAGUCAUGUUGAACAAAGAGAGUGGUAAUCGCCCUUUGAAAUUGUUAUUGGACAGCUUUAAGGACCACAACGAGGAGCCUACUGCUGGAAAAUUAUGCUUAAGCAGUUCACAAGACAUCUGAUUGUUGGAAAGAUCAAAGUAUUCGAGAGAGCUCAUAUUCCCAAAACAAGGAGGAAUACAACCUGUGAGGCUGUUGUUAGCCAUCAUGAAGUUUUUCAAACGUGGAAAAAUCGAACAUAUGUUGCUUGCAAUUUGACCAUGUAUGUUGUUGCCAGACAUAUCUACUGUCUGAAGGUUGGGUGUUGGAUGUUGUGGCAGCUGCAAAAGACUUGUAAAUGAGGUGUCUCUCAAAUAUAGCCGAUUUAACUUUCUAUUAUUCUCAAACAGCCAAGAUGGGAAAGGUUCUCCAACGAAUUUGUUGUGGGAUAGAUCAAGAAACACCAAAUCAUGUUGGCUAUGCAGGAAGUUUGGAAAUCCAGCUCUGAGUGGUUUUGAAGUACAGUUUGAAGCACUGAAGUAACGAAGCUGGAACUUGGGAGCUGAAGGCUGAAAACUGGGUGCAGCUAUCAGCUCAUUGUUAUCGCAUGCAAUGAACUUGAGGUUGGAGAGGUUCAUAAAUGAACCAAAUGUUAUUGGAACUUGAAAGUAGUUACUUGAAACUGAGAGGUAUUCAAGCUGCGUAAGAUGGGAAAGGUGACUAGAGGCAAUAUUUCCCUCCAAUUGGUUGUCAGAUACAUCCAAGAUUUGUAGAGAUGAUAGAUUUCCAAAACAAGGAGGGAGUACGCCCUUUAGAUAGUUUCUUGAGAGAUAUAGCUUUUCAAGAUUCUUCGGUUCACACCAGCCUGCAGAAUAUAUCAAUAUGUUCAUAUAUCAAUUAUGUAAUUGCUUGGUGAGGUUUUAAAGUUUUAGUUGAUUCUUGUUUCAUUACCUAGGUCGGUUUUAGAUUAUAUUUAAACAACUUUGUUUGUUAGUUUUUUAAAAGAUUAAUUAUCUAUAUUAUUGAUAUUCAUAAUUUUUUUAAUUCAAAGUUUUUUCUAUAAUUUAAGACAGAGAAAUUUUAGAGAUUCAGAAACUCUAGAUUUUAUCCUUUUCUAUACAUAACAUUAUGAGUAAAUUUCUAGUUUAAUAAAACAUAGAUAUAACAAAAUAUCUAAUGAACAACUGUUAUUUGGAUUUCAAUACUCUUAUAAUUGUUCAUUUGUAGAAUUACCAUCCCAAUAUCCAUAUAAAUUCAAUGAAAUAUAAAUUUGUGUGUUAAUUUUUUGAUAUUAUAUCAAUAUUUUAAUAACCAAAUAUUCAUGAAUUCUAACAUAUCACAUAUAAAUUCUAACUAGUUGAUCCUUUAAUAAAAUUUUAAAAAUUGAACAAAAGUUAAUGGUUAAUACACAUCUAUUUAUUAGACAAAUUCACUAAAGAAUAAAUUAAGCCUCACUAAGGAAUGUCAUCCAAGGAAGGAAUGAUUUACAACUUUACCAUUGAGACCAGUUGAUCCUGUGAACAUAUUGUCUGAUAGAUCUAGAGAUUUGAGAGUUGAAAAUCCAUUGAGAGAUGAUAAAAUGCUGUCGUUAAAUUUAUUGUUACUUAGAUAAAGUUCCUCCAAAUUCCUCAACCCUGAAGCUAGGACUUGAAAACCUGAAAGAAAAUUGUCGGAAGCAAAGAAAUUAACAGAUAUAUAUAUCAACCAUCCCAAUAUCCAUAUAAAUUAAAUGAAAUAUAAAUUUGUGUGUUAAUUUUUUGACAUUAUAUCAAUAUUUUAAUAACCAAAUAUUCAUGAAUUCUAACAUAUCACCUCCAUUCUUUUAAUAAAAUUUUAAAAAUUGAACAAAAGUUAAUGGUUAAUACACAUCUAUUUAUUAGACAAGUUCACUCAAGAAUAAAUUAAACCUCACUAGGGAACGUCAUUUGAGGUAGGAAUGAUUUACAACUUUACCAUUGAAACCAGUUGAUUCUGUGAAUCUAUUGUUUGAUAAAUCUAGAGAUUUGAGAGUUGAAAAUCCACUGAGAGAUGAUAAAACACUGUUGUUCAAUUUAUUGUCACUUAGAUAAAGUUCCUCCAAUUUCCUCAACCCUAAAGCUAGGACUUGAAAACCUGAAAGAAGAUUGUCAGAAGCAAAGACAAUUAAAAGAUUUAUAUAUCAACCAUUUCAAUAUCCAUAAAGAUUCAAUGUAAAGUUACUUGAAACAUAACUAACUUUAUGUGUUAACUAAAAAAAAAUUGAAAGCAUAGAACCUUGGUUCUUUAAGCCACCAACUAAUUGGUUGCCGCUUAAGUCGAGAAUCUCCAGUUCUUUGAAAGGCAGAAACAAAGGUGCAUUGAGAUCCAAGUCUUCGACUGCAUCAUAAUUUACAUAUGAAAGAUGUAGUUCGAUCACUCGGUUUGUGGUGUUGUCACACACAACCCUAUAAUAAUCCCAGUUACAGCAAUUAAAGUGCUCUUUAUCCCAACGUUCUAGCGGAUCAUAGGACCCAGCUGCACGUGCAUGAUAGAACCAAGCUUUUAUCUCUAAGAGACUAACUCUCUCUUCCUCCACACAACAAUGGCUCCGGUCGUUGAGGAAGGCCAGUGCCAUGAGCAGCAUCCACACCCACAUUUGCCUCAUCUUCAUAUUAACGCUCCUACUUGACAAAAUACAAAAGCAAGCAAGCUGUCUCUUAUAUACAAAUUAAUUUGUCCUCUUCAUUUGAUCGGACUUAAUUAUCUGUAUCAUUGAAUUUUCUAUGCUGAAUUAAUUAUCCAAGGGAGACUUGGGCUGAAUUGAAUGGGAGAAUCUUCACGGACAGAUCCAGGGGCCCGCACCACGGCACAGAUCGCUCGGUUUGUGGUGUUGGAUUAAAGGAUAUUAAUUCCAACUUCUUGUUUACUGCUUUACUUUUCUUCAUAGACUUGGGAAGUCAGGUGCUGUAUAUGAACAAUUGAUUUGAUCUUAUGAAAUACACGGCAGAAGAGAUUAGAAAAUGACUUCUAUUAUCAAUAAUUUCUUCUUACUGCACCUACUGAUUUUUAUUUCUUUUGAAAUAUUUAGAAUAUCUCUUUUGAAAUAUCAAUAUCGCCUACCCCACUUCCUUCAUUUUUGUUAACGGAGUGAAAUGAUUUCAACACGUGUCCAUGCAUCUGCCAGCUACCCUAAUUAAUCUGCACUAACAGUGACCAUAACAGCUGUAACAAUACUCCCUCAAUACUUGUAACAUCAUCCUAAUAUAUAUAUAAUAGAUUGGAAGCAUGCAUGGGUUUCUUACAUGAUUAACUAAACUUAAUCUUGUAAUAUUGAAUUAUUUGAUGAAAACAUUAUCUAAAACAAGAUUAAUUGAUAUAUUUAAAGUCAAAUAAAAAACAAACCCUGCUUAUUUUUAAUAUUAAAAAUUAUUUCUAACAUAAAUUUUUAACAUAAUAAUUUAUCAAAAUUAAAAUAAAUUAGAAUCACCGUUUGAGCAAUUGAUUUGAUCUUGGGCCCACAAUUAUUUUCAUUAGCCUGUUAAUAUUUUUCUUCAAGCUUGUGGAACAGGUUGUUCCUUUAGGCUACUUUGCUUCUUCUUUUUUUUCUUCUUAGACUUGGGAAGUUAUUUGUUUGAACAUUUAAUUUAAGUUUUUAUGGUUGUUUGUUUUUGUGUUUUAAAAGUAUUUUUAAAUAAAUUUUAAAUUUUUUAAUUUUUUUAUUAACUUCAAAUUAAUAUAUUUUUAGUGUUUUCAAAUCAUUUUGAUAUGCUAAUGUCAAAAAUAAUUUUUAAAAAAUAAAAAAAUAUUAUUAAUAUAUAUUUUAACAUAAAAAAUUAUUUAAAAAACAAUAAUAUAAUCUCAUCAUCCAAUAUCGCUUGUUUUUAUUCUUCGUAGACAUGUGAAGUAAAGAUUCCCAAUUAUCCACUGCAUCAAUCUCUAUCCCAUCAAAAUGAAUUUGGUGCAAGAAAAAAAUAUCUAAUAUAUGUGAUUUACUCAUUAUGCAUAUUUAAGAUUGCUAAAGGAAAAUAUUUAGUUUAAUUUCACAUAUAAGCUAAUUCGAUAACACUUUUUAAUAUAAAACCAAAAAAAAAAAGAGUGCUAUCGUCAUCAACUUUAUUUGGUUUCAAUUUAUGACGUUUGACAUAUAAAUUCUGUUCAAUUUAAAUCAACUUUUCAAUAAAUAGUGAAUGUUAAUGAGCACAGUAGCGAGAACUAAGCAGUGUUAUGUGUACUUGGAACCAAGGUUGUUAAAAUCGUGUUUUGACUCGUAAAAUCGUACGAUUUUACGAGUCAAAACAUGUAUUACGGGUUGAAUCGCUUGAAAAAAUCAAAAAUAGCUAAAAUCGGGUUGAAAUCGAGUGAAAUCGCGAUUUCAGGACCGAUUUUGCGAUUUUGACAAAAUAAGGCCCUGAAACAAAAUCCUCCCUCCUGGAUAGCUGUCAUGCCUAUUGGAUUAUUCCUGCACAGUCUUACUCAUACACAACGUUUCAUGUCUUCCUUAGCUCUCGUGUCUAGCGUGAAUAGGAAGGUCCCCGUGUUGGUCAAGCAGGAAUGUCUGGAACUAGUUGCUAUGUGUAAUAAAAAAAACUUUGGCAGGAUAUGAACAGAAUGAAGAAUUACAAAGAUGAAAUCUCUCUCUCUCUCUCUCCCCUUCCUUCUUCUUAUCUCUUUCACCAUUCAUGCUGCAACCCUCCUGUUGAUUUCUGGAAAUGGUUCAGAACCAUUCCAUCGCAUUCAAUUCCCCUGGAUAUAUUUCUGGAAAUGUAAUUUUUAAUCUAUUAAUUUUUUUUAUAAAACAUAUUAACCGAAUAUUAUUUCAAUUUCACUCGAGUUUUAUGGUAGAAACUGGUGAAGUGUGUGUAUAACACCUGACAAUAUUUUAAGAUGCUUGAACUAUAUAUGAAUUUUUAUUUGAAGGCUUGAAAUAUGUAUGAAAUUUUAUUUGAAACAUGUUUUUUAAUGUGCUUGAACUAUGUAUGAAUUUUUAUUUGAAACAUGAAUUUUUUUUAAUGUAUUUCAAAAUUCCUUACGAUUUUACGAGCCGUUUUUACAAUCCGAUUUUGUGAAGGGCUUUCCGUUUCGUUCUAAAAUCGCGAUUUUAACAAUCUUACUUGGGACUGUGAAUAAUGUACACUUUAGCUCUCUUCAUACAGUCAAUUGACUUUGACACAGUAAAAAUGAAAAAAAAAUUACUCCGUCGAUUGGUGAUUAAACUACAAUACUAAAUAUACCAACUCUGUGGAUUUGUGAUUAAACUUGGAAAAAAACAACAAUACUAAAAAAAGCCAUAUGUGAAUUUGUGAUUAAGAAAAUUCAUUAUUUUAUUUUUUGACAUAUUAGGUUCCACUAGAUGCACCCAGUCAAUGUGAGUGGUUGUCUUUUUUAUUAUUUAUGAGGAUCCAAUUGAUGCAUCAAGUCUAGGGCUCCACAAUCACUGUCACUAGUCAAUUCCGCCAACUUGUUGCGUAAACUACUUUGCUUUCUCUUCAUAUAUAGACAUGGAAAUCAUGUGGAAUCAAAAAAUUUAUUCCUUAACCUUUUUCAUGGAAUGAAGUGAUUUCCCAGUAGCAUCAUCAUCCACUUGCACUUUUUUUUUCUUCGUAGACUUGAGAAGUCGGUCAAGAUUCCCAAUAUAUUAUCAACAUCAUCAAUUUAAAAAAGAAAUAUAUGUUAGGUUGAUUUAUAUGUUAGGCUGAUUUACUUCCAUAUUAAUUAUUGUUUGAAUAUUCUUAAUCCGAAUGAUAUUAGUCCAUUCAAAACAAAUUCAUUUUCUUUUUUUAUAAAUAUAUUUAUAUAACUACCAAAGAAGAAAAUGCAUUGAUUAAAAUAUUAUUAAUCUGUUUGAAUGAAGAAAGUUAAGGCAGAGAUGACCAACCUAAACACCGUGUGGGCCAAUAAAAUUGAAAACAAAAGAUAAUAUCAAUGGCUUGCAAAAAAAAAGGGUUUGUGUUAAAUUUAUCUAUAUGUUAAAUUACUUGAUUUACUAAACUUAAUCAUGUAAUAUUGAAUUAUUUGAUGAAAACAUUAUCUAAAACAUGAUUAAUUGACAUAUUUAAAGUCAAAUAAAAAACAAAUCCUGCUUACUUUUAAUAUUAAAAAUUAUUUUUUAAUCUAAACUCUUUAGCAUGAAAAUUUAACAAAAUUAAAAUAAAUUAUGAUUACUAUUUGAGCGAUUGAUUUGAUCUUCGGCCCCACAAUUAUUUUUGUUAGUCUGUGAAUGUUUUUCUUCAAGCUUGUGAAACUGGAUAUUCCUCUGUAAUGUAAGUUCCUUUGUUUUUUUUCUUCGUAGACUUGAAAAGUCAUUUGUUCGAACAUUUGAUUUUCUGAUAAGUCAAUCAUCCACUGCAUCAAUCUCUAUCCCAUUGUUAGUCUGUGAAUUUUCUAUGCUGAAUUAUCCAAGGGAGACUUGGGCUUCAUUGAAUGAGAGAGUCUUCACGGCACAGAUCGCUCGGUUUGUGGUGUUGGAUUAAAGGAUAUUCCAACUUCUUGUUUACUGCUUUGCUUUUCUCCGUAGACUUGGGAAGUCAAGAUUCCUAUAAUCCACAUCAUCAAAAAAACCCAAAUCGAUAAUGUGGUGUUGGAUUAAAGGAUAUUAAUUCCAACGUCUUGUUUACUGCUUUACUUUUCUUCAUAGACUUGGGAAGUCAGGUGCUGUAUAUGAACAAUUGAUUUGAUCUUAUGAAAUACAUGGCAGAAGAGAUUAGAAAAUGAUUAACAGAUAUAUACAUCUCAACCAUACCAAUAUCCAUAAAGAUUCAAUGUAAAGUUACUUGAAAUAUAAUUAACUUUAUGUGUUAACUAAAAGAAAAUUGAAAGCAUAGAACCUUGGUUCUUUAAGCCACCAACUAAUUGGUUGUCGCUUAAGUCGAGAAUCUCCAGUUCUUUGAAAGGCAGAAACAAAGACGCAUUGAGAUACAAGUCUUCGACUGCAUUGAGAACAUCAUAAUUUACGCUAUAAAGAUUUAGUUCGAUCACUCGGUUUGUGGUGUUGUCACACACAACCAAAUCCCAGUUACAGCAAUUAAAAUGCUCUUUAUCCCAACCUUCUAGCUGAUGGGACCCAGGUGCACCUGCAUGAUUGAACCAAGCUUUUAUCUCUAAGAGACUAACUCUCUCUUCCUCCACACAACAAUGGCUCCGGUCGUUGACGAAGGACAGUGCCAUGAGCAGCAUCCACACCCACAUUUGCCUCAUCUUCAUAUUAACGCUCCUACUUGACAAAAUACAAAAGCAAGCAAGCUAUCUCUUAUAUACAAUUUUGUCCUCUUCAUGCAUUUGAUCGGACAGUGACAAUUAUCUGUAUCAUUGAAUUUUCUAUGCUGAAUUAAUUAUCCAAGGGAGACGUGGGCUUCAUUGAAUGAGAGAGUCUUCACGGCACAGAUCGCUCGGUUUGUGGUGUUGGAUUAAAGGAUAUUCCAACUUCUUGUUUACUGCUUUGCUUUUCUCCAUAGACUUGGGAAGUCAAGAUUCCUAUAAUCCACAUCAUCAAAAUGAAUGUGAUCGAAGAAAGGAAAAAAUGAAAAAAAAAAAAAAACAUUAACAGUGGCUUACAAAAAAUAAAUAAAUAAAUAAAACCAUCAAUUACGAGCUUCAUAAGAUAAUUUUAGCUUAAAAAAACCCAAAUCGAUAAUGUUUUCUUUAACAUUGGUAUCCGUUUAAUCAAUCUUCUGGUUUGAUCCUUGAUAGUGCUGUGUUUUGAUGCUUGUCGAUUAGCCACAAUAAUGUUAAAUUUACAAGGACAGAUCCAAGAAAAGCAAUGCAGGCCUGUUUUGGUCUCUGGGAGUCCCCUGAUAAAGGCUGCAACUAUUGCUUGAACCCUUGUAAAGGGGCCUUUACACAUGCGGUCCACUGAGAAGUACAACACCGUUCUUUAUUUAAUUCUUAUGGUUUAAAUCUACUAAUAACUUAGUCAUUUUGCAUGCUAUUUUUCCACUUGUUUUGUAAAAUAGAGAAAAGAACUGUUAAGCAUGCUGGAUAUUUCGCAUAAUAAGCUCCGGGUCCUUUAUCCUCUUGUUUGUCCAAUUUAACUUUCAUGGCAAACGAUGCAAAAUGCUAUGUAUCUUUUACUUGGCCUAGUAUUCAAUAUUUUGAUCAGUCAAAUCUUGUACUCAUGGGUUUGCCUCAAGUAGGCGAUUCUUAUCGGGAAAAUAAGUACACAAACAACAUUGCAGAUUAAUCUGUCGAGUUCUCAACAAAAAGACAGUCAUACUCCUAUCGAGAUGUGACGCGGAACAAUAAGUAAAAAGAAUUAAAGCAAGAAAAGAAAGAAGCUUUAAAGAAGAAAGAAGCUAAAGAAGAGGAGGAGAGGGGUUGGAGAUGUGCAAAUCUGCAAUUUUCAUUCAUUCAAAAAAUGUCUUCCCAAAUGACAAAGAGCAUAUAAAUAGUCUCAACCUAGAACAUCCUGCUAUUGGGCUUGGCCCAUCAAACCAAAUUGUUUAACAUAAAUAAUAAAAAUAACAAUGAGCAAGCCCAAAUGGGCUAAAUAAAUAAAAUUACAAUGAGAUAGGCCCAAUGGGCUUAGUCUCCCAACCAAAGCGUGACAGGCUGGGCCAUCCUACGUCGUCUCCGUCCAUAUACUCGUGUAAUCUGUGGCGUGGGCCUGGUGUCCUCACCAACUCUCCUGGGGUUAGAGAAACUCGACCUUGUCGAGCGUAGCAGUGGCCGACUCUGAUAGUACUCCCAAAGAUCUGGGUCAAGCUGCUGCAAAGUAUCUCUAGUAAUCCAAGUGCAGUCUGAGUCGGGUCGACCCACCCAGCGAACUAGAAACCGCUGAAUCUCACCAUUCCUAUUAAAAACAACUUGUUCAUCCAGAAUAGCAUCAAUAUUAUCCUUUUGUGCUGAUGUCAAAGUAAAAAGGGAUAGGGGUUUAUUAGGAUCAUCAGGAGGGGGUUAAGUGGUGUUCAAUGGGUCAUUUGGAAUAGGAAGUGGUUUGUGGUAUGCAACUAGAUCCUCAAUGUUAAAUGUAGAGCUAAUGCCAAAAUCAUGUGGUAAAUCAAGAACAUAAGCAUUUGGACCAACCCGUUGUAGCACUUUGAAAGGCCCGCACUACGUGCAUGCAAUUUUCGAUUAGCUCCCGAAGGAAACCGUUCGGGUCUAAUCCGUUAUCAUAGUCUCCAACAUUAAACUCAUUAUGUCGUCUAUGUGCAUCAGCUUGAAGUUUAUAUUGCGCAUUACUUGCUUGAAUUUGUUUAGUGAUCUCAAUAUGCAAAUCCUGAAUUCUACGUGCAAAAGACUCGGCUGACUCAGACACUCUAGCAUGAAGGGACAUGGGAAGAAGAUCUAAAGGUUUCCUAGGCUUGUAACCAUGUACAACUUCAAAGGGACUCAUGCCUAUUGACCUAUUGAUGAGCUAUUAUAGGCAAACUGGGCUAGGAAGAAUCAGAUCCCAAUUCCGAUUAUGAUCACUCACUAGACACCUUAAAAGGUUACCCAAACUCCUGUUAACCACCUCAGUUUGACCAUCAGUUUGGGGUGGUAAGCAGUAGAAAACUUCAAUUUGGUUCCCACCAUAUGCCAAAGGGUUUUCCAGAAAUAACUUGUAAAUCUAACAUCCCUAUCUGAAACUAUGGUUUGGGGAAGGCCGUACAACUUGACAAUCUCGUCAAAAUAGAGUUUUGCGACUCUGGAAGCAUCUGUGGUCUUAGUACAAGGAAUAAAAUGGGCCAUCUUAGAGAAGCGGUCGACAACCACAAAAAUAGAAUCAUGUUUCUUUGCAGUACGUGGAAGCCCAAGCACAAAAUCCAUGCUUACAUCUUGCCAAGGGCAAGUAGGCACGGGUAAUGGAGUGUAAAGACCAGUAUUUUGUUUUCUAUGCUUAGCGAGUUGGCAAGUUCGACACUGACCUACUAAUUUGGCGACAUCUCUUUUCAAACUAGACCAAAAAAACUGACGUUCCACUUCUUCGAUGGUUUUAUUCCUUCCAAAAUGUCCUGAGAGACCUCCAACAUGAAUCUCCCAUAUCAAAAAAUCACGCACAGAUGUUUUCAGGAUACAAAGCUUAUUAUCUCGAAAUAGGUAUCCAUCUUGGAGGUGAUAACCAUUUAUAACACGGUGAUGCGCAUCCUUCAAUGUCAAGUAUAUUUCUCCAAAUUCUAGGCAAGAUUCAUACUCCUCCUUAAGUCUCUCAAAUCCUGUGACUCCAACACUCAUUACAGAUAACAACGUCACCCGACGACUCAAAGCAUCUGCAGCCUUAUUCUCUAUUCCAGAUUUAUGUUUCAAAACAAAUGAGUAUGCUUGCAAAUAUUCAACCCAAUGACCAUGCCUAUUGUCGCACCCUAAAAAAAAUCAGCUCGCGGCAUCGGCUGGCGAUUUUUCUCGUUUGUUUGUCGUUGCUUGAAUUUGGUUCGUUGGAGUCGCCACCUAGUAAUUGAUUGCGGGCUACUAGGAAACCGGCUGUACUGGUCUUGUCAGAGAUUCGUGGGUACGGGACUGGUUGUGGUUAGGGAAGGUAUUAGCACCCCUAACACACCCUACCUGAGGUAAGCUGCUUCGCGAAUUUGAUGUAUUAAAGAAGUUUUAAUAAUUGUCUUUUCAUCAGAAAUUAGAAAUAUCACUUACGUAUAAGUUAAUAAUUCUUAACCAAGAUCCGAUCAAAAUAUUAAAUUCUUCUUUAAUAUAUUUGCAAUUUUAUCAUUAAAAAAUAUAUACAAAUAAAUAAAAACAAAAUACAAACACACACGUACACUUCCACUAUUUUUGUUUCUUUUCUUUUUUUCUUUUCUUUUCUUUUACAUCCAUAUUUACAAAACAAAUAGACAAUCCAAAAAAAAAUAAAAAAAAAAUACAUCAAACAAUUUAAAAUUACAAAACAGCCCCUAAAACAUCCUAAGGCUUCUAGAACAUGCAGGAACAGUGCACGAGAACAGUGCUGGGAGGCUUCUGGUGCAGAGAAUCAGUUGAUGCUUGCCAUUUGUUCUCAGUUAUACUAAGAAAGAAUGAACCGCGACUCUGUCCACCAUUCUCUCCUGUGCAUGAACAAAUCAGUGAAGGAAUAUUUGCAGUGAUAAAUAUGUUAAUGGUUUCCUGACUUCAUUAGAAUAUUUUGCUCCCAUUUUCUUUGCUCCAUGAACUGAAUAUAUAUUGCAACAUAAUUGUGGUGUUGUCAAUCACGGCAAUUAUGCACAUAAAUCCUUACUGGCGCCGCAGGUGGUUUUACUUCAUUGAAGAAUCGCAACUAUUAUGCUGCUGUUUUCUAGCGGUUAGUUUCCGUAAGCUGUCCAACAUCAUGUCAUCGAACCUCUGUAUAAUCAUUCAAUUAGAUGACACAUUUAAAAAUUUUAAAAACUAAUAAUACUAUAACUAUGAAGAACACCUAAAAUAUUUAAUUUUAUUCUUCCAAGUCUCUGCUAAACUAAUUAUACACAAUUGUGGUACUAGCAAUUGCGGCAGUUUUGUACAUAAACCCAUAUUGGCGACAUAGGUGGUUUUACUUCAUAGAAGAGUGCAUGGAGACUUGCUACUACUUUGAAUUGCAUACAUUUCAUAAGCUAUCCUCCUUCAUAAGGCCAUAGGGUCUGACGCGUGCCUUUUGUUUUUUCAUAUUUUUUAGUUUGAACUAAUAAAACCUUUACUUUUUUUCAAGCUUCAGUUAAUUUUAUUGCAGUUUCUCAAAUGAAUUCUACAAAUUCAAGAUAUAUAUGCAUCCUUAAUGCCAUAUUAAAGAGAAUAUAUAGAUAGGAAGAAGAGGAGCUUUACGUGAUAUGGAUAGCGAGAUGCUCCUAAGCCUAGAACCAGCUAAAACUUAAUAUUAUGAUGAAUAAUUCAGCAAAACUUAAUUCAAUUUCAACUUCCAUUCUCAUCAUUAGUACAAAAUGCAGAGUCAGAUUGAAAGGAAAAUGAUUGGAACUUGAAAUUCAGGUAACAAUACAUCUAGCAGAGCUUCCUCCUUACCCUCUCCCUAUUGUAUCUUCUUCGAGUGGAACUCUUAGCUUUUUGCCCUCCAAGAUAAAUGUUCUCAUCUUUCUCCAGUACUCUCUGAUAACUCAGAGAGCAGCCGCCCUGUAUAUUCCCUUUUUUUUUUAUUAUUAUUCAAAACGUUAUAGAGAAGUUCUUUUACAGAGAAACCCUUUUUAAGAUAACCAUCUAGAUAAAUAACAUUAAUCCCAUAUAUAUCAGGAUAUAUACAAUUACAAAAUAUUAAAAUAUAAUUUUUAUUUUAAAUUUUACAGCUCACGCUAACAUUAAUUCCUAAACAGUACAGCUCACGCUAACACUCUCUUUUCCAUCCAGCAUAAGCAGUCACAACUUACCUCCACGGAAAACUUUAUAGCCAACUUCAACCAAUAUUUAAAAGGAAUUUUGUCCUAUGUUUGAUAAGCAAAAUCAACAGAACCUGUCGUUGACUUUCUAGCUCAAAUUUAGCAGUAGCCAUUUUAAGGAGCAGAAACAAACACUGUACUUUUAUCAUCACGAAAAUCUGGUUGAUUUAUUAUCACGAAAAUCGAAAAUCUAGUUGAUUUAUCAUUACGAAAAUCUAGUUAAAACAAAUUAAUAUGAAAUCAAAUCGAGGAUGAAAGGUUGAUUUUGAGAUCAAGAAUAGCAUGUAUUAAAAAGAUAAUAAAUAAAAUUAGAGUAAUAACAUUGAUACAACUUAUCAUUAAAUUUCAUUUGCAAUUUCCUCUCGAUUUUCUGUAGUUCUGUAGAGACAUAGAUUAGUUGGUUCUUACGGGAAUUUUUCUUCCUUAAUUUCACUCCCAUUUCCCAAACGAUGGAAUUCAUACAACCUUUCGAUUUUAUUUCCACGUAAAAUCCAUUCUUCUCUAUCAAACAGAACAUAAUAAUGGGCCAUAUUUUAAUUUAAAUAUAUUUUUCCUAAUAUUUAAAGUUUUUUUACUGGGAAAAUAUCAUGGGGAUUUGAGAGAAAAGACAAUAGAUAAGAAAGGACAAGAAAAAAAGUGAGAGAAAAUGAUGGUGGGUCUUCAUUCUUCAGGGACCGUAUUGGAACUCUUUGGAGGCAUGCGUGAGAGGUGAAAUGGGAAAGUAUAGGGAACAAAGUGUAAUGUCAAUGAAUAUAUAGGGCUUAAAAUGCAAUUUACCCUUAAUUUUUUCGUGGAUGACGCAGUCACAAGGAGAGGAUAGAUGUCAUUUCUGAAAUGAUAAGACAGAAGUGACAAUAAGUAAAAUUUCGUAAAUCAUCAUCAAUCAAAAAUCAUGACGUGGGGACAAAUCACAUAAUUGAUUGAUUUUACAACCCUUUAAAACAAACUCAUCAAAAUAUUUAAUCCAAAUUCUGAAUAAACAACAAUAUCUAAUGUAGAUAGGUUUGAAUAAUUUGAUGAUUAUUAAUAGUCAAUUGUAGAUUUAUCACAAUUAGAUCAUAUAUAUAAAACCCAAUAAACUCAUAAUACGAACAAAUAUAACUGGGCUAACUUAAGAAAAAAAUACAUUGGUGCAAAAUGACUAGUCUAACUAAAAAAGUUUAAAUUUUAAUUUGACCUCAUGGAAAUCAUUCUCAAAUUUAAUUAGGAGAUUUUAUGGUUUCUAUUCUAUAAAGGGUGUGUGUAGGCUUGAAAGAAGUUAUGCGUGCCAAUUUCGUUAUUUUUUUAAUCUUUUUACAAUUCUAGUUUAAUUUUGGAUUUUAUAUUGUAAGAACCUAUAUCAUAUCAAGAUUAAAUUUCAGUAAAAAAAAAUAUUAGAAUUCUAGUUGUGGAGAGUUUUUUUAUAUAUAGAAUUACGUUUUUCUUUGAGCUUGUUUUUUUCUUAACCGGAUCAACUACAUCAAUCUCCUAAAAAAACGAAAAAAAAAAAAGUUGGGAAUGAAAACUUAAGUGAAAUUUAACAGUCUGCAACAACAAUCCUUUACCGUCCACCAUGAAAUGAUCAACAGGUUUUUUUUAAGGACAAUAUAAAUUCUGAAAGAGCGUAGACAUGAAUGACAGCCAAGAACCACCCAACAGCCAUGCAGGGUCUAGUCUGCAUGGCAAAGGUCCCCUCAAUCGCUGAAUCCACAUGAACACAGUCUAAUGAACUGCUAACAUGCAUUUGGUUGUGGUAAUUCAAUUAUGCGAAGGGUGUCGGUCCGAAUUCUUCAACUUAAACGAACAUGUUUGCGUAAUUAAGUGUUCAAUCACGUACUUAAUUUGCUAUUGAAAACAUUUAGAAUUUAUCAACAAUUUAAUUAAGCAGGUGUAUACAACCUCCCAACAUUUGUAGAUAUCAUUGAAUCAUUAGUUAACACCAAGUAGACUGAGAUCGGAUCAAAAUGUGUCACUUAAGCUCUUAAUAUUACAGAAAACUUACAAUUGCCCUGAUGGUUAAUUAGCACAAAAGACCGGCUUGGAGUUCAGACUAGCCAAAUUGCCCAACUCUUUAAGCCUGAAUUUUAUCACCAUCAUAAAAUGGGAAAAUUAGUUUAGAUAUACAAGGCGAAAUGGAAUUAAUUACCUAACAAUUUGAACUUCAGAUUGGUCAUGCAUGACCACUUGCAGGUCCUCCUAGUGUUAGAACCACACCUUGAAGAUCACUUCUUGGAUCUGAUUCUUUGGCUAAUGAUGGAGCAGCUCUGAUUACCGGAUAUGUUCUGGUCACUUGAGUUUGUCGAGAACUAUGACUGGAUUGUCCUGAGAAUGUUUUUGGAUGAUGAGAAGGCUUCAAGGUAUCAGUAUGAAAUUCAUUCGAAGCACCACCCAGAAACCAGUGCUCAAAAAGCCCCUUUAUAAAGAUAACUAACAGAGAAGGUCACAGACAGCAGAGGAGGUCAGCAUCACCAUCGAUUUCCUUUCUCCAGAAGCAGGGGUUUACCACCACAUCAACACCCAUCUUCCCCGAUCUCUUCAUCUCCUUUAGCACUGAAGAGAAACCGAACGGUGGAGCAGAGAACACAGACAGCAGAGGAGGUCAGCAUCACCAUCGAUUUCCUUUCUCCAGAAGCAGGGGUCUACCGCCACAUCAACACCCAUCUUCCCCGAUCUCUUCAUCUCCUUUAGCUCUGAAGCUUCCUCCAGCAGUGGCCAACACACGGCAGCCCCUACAAAACCAAAAUGAGAUAAAUCUCAAAGAGAAAGAAAGACUCGAACUUGUGUAGCAGAUCUGGACCGAGAUCCAGCCGCCAUCAGCUCUGGCGAUGCCUAACAACCAGAUGUGCUACAGGGAUGAACUCUCGGGCAACAAACAGUGAUAGACUCGAAAGAAGCCAAUCUAAAGGAGGAGAAGGAAAAAAACGCAGAUCUGUGAAAAAAAGACAAUAAUCGAAACUCAAUUAAGAAGAAAUCAUCGCACAAACAAUCUCCCGGACCGGUUGUUGAUUUGGAUCCUUUCCCAAUUGAGGAUGGAAGACUACGGGAAAGAGGAGAUUGGUUGGGGUGGGGAUUGAAGCUGUGAUUUGGGAUCGGUUCAGUUUAUCAAGCAGACUUCAAGAGGUAAGACCCUAUACAAUAACAGUAACAACAAAGAGAACUUUUCAACCCAGCCAUGGAGGGGAAAGCUCUCUCUCAAAAAGCCCAGCCACCGUUCCAGACAAACUUAAUUCCUUCUCACAAACACAAAAAAGAACUUGACCUUCCAUACAAGCCAUAUUACCCCCAGCCUCAGCUACCAUCCAUCACCUUAAACACUCAGACUUCAACAAACUACCGUGAUUUUCAACUACAAUGUUACUUUGAAAACUUCCUAAGUUGGGUCGAUUACCAUAAGCUUAAAGACUGCUUCAGAAAACAGGGGAAAGUUAUUAAGCUGUUUGUUUCUCGAAAAACAAAUCAAGCAGGAAAGCAUUUUGGCUUCGUCACCAUCCUCUCGAAUCUGUCAGACAAAACUCUGCUAGAAUGCUUAAAUGACAUAUGGUUUGAUUCCUACAAGCUGAGAGUUAAUGUGGCUAAGCACAGAAGAAAAGAUGUAGUGACGAAACAGAAAAUAAUGGGAACCGGGAAACAAAUACCCAAGCUCAACAACAAAGCCAAGGCCCCCAUCCGUGUAAGAGACAACCGAAGCUAUCUUGAGGCAGUAAGAUCAGGGAGUCAAGUGCAUCAAGCGUCUGAUAAUGCCACACCACGUCAUCAUAACUUCAUUUCUUUCAACACUACAGAUGAGGAAAUUCUAUGGUUAAGAAAUAGUCUUAUAGGCAAGAUAUCUCAGGGAGUAGAUUAUGCACAAAUCAGACAUGGAUUAAUUCAGCUAGGCAUUUGCUUCUCUGCUUUCCGUUUCCUAGGGGGAUCACAGGCAAUCAUAAGCUUUGAUGGUGAGAAAUCUAUGCAACAAGCCAUGCAGAAAGGUAUGGAAUGCUGGAGGCUCUACUUUGAUGAAGUUCACCCGUGGACUGAAGAAGAUGUGACAGAGAGUCGUCUAGCAUGGAUCUCUAUCUCUCAUUUGCCUAUCUCUGGCUGGAGUUUGAGAUGUAUCUCAAACCUUCUCAUGAACCGUGGACGGGUGAUAGGUUUUGACAAAACCAGCCUAAAAAUCUCUGAACUUCACAGUGUGAAAAUCCUUAUAGGUACUCACUUGCCGGAGAUCCACGACUCUAUAGCUCUCAUGCUAAACUCCAAGUUAGUACACAUAUAGCUGGAUGAGAUUGACCUUUUAAGAUAUCCAGAGGCAAAAGGAAUUUCAUACUCGAUGGCAGAAUUUCAAACCACAUUACUUCAGGGAGAUAGUGCUGACAGUGACUCAGAUGAUGAAGUGUACACUGAUCUUGCUUUUGACUUGGCAGGAGAUGACAACAUUUGCAGGCUAGGUAUCACUGAUAAGAAUUGUGGAUCUGAUGACAAGGGACACACGAUGGAGGUAAGGAAGCACAACCCAUAUGGGACACAUGAGGUGUACGAUCAUAGCUUUGCGUCCACAAUAAAUGCCAUUGACAACACAGAACGGCUACAUAUCGUUGUUGACGAUCUCUUUUACGAUGUGAAUUCAGCAAGCCCACUAGAGCAUCCAAGCAUGGCUUUCAAAAGAGACUCCUUCUUGCCACAACCUUAUACCCCUGUUAGCAGUGAUGAUUCUUUAGAAUCCCACUUCAAAAUCCAAAGCCUACCUCUUACAUCUAACCAACAACAGACCCCAACAGCCAAACAACCAAGACUAAAGAAAAUAUCCUCUACUAGGAGUCUCCUCUCCUUGCACUCUUCAGCAAGCAUGUCUUCUAUAGACUCUUACAUCAGGGUGAAUAAUACCCGUAACCUGAAAGAAUAUGCAGCGGAAUCGUCCCACAAUGAAGUCAACAAAAUGAUCCGUUUGGGAGAAGCUUUGGGUCUUGGUAAUUCAGCUCUCUUGGAACAAUUUUCUGGUCUUAUCAUAAGACAGCUAGAAAAGGAGAAGGAAGAUUGGCAGAAACAACAAUGAAUAGUAAGUUUUCAUCCCCUGCAGAUAGGCCUUUUAAUUCUGUCAUGAAUAUUCUUUCUUGGAAUUCCUGUGGCUUGGGCAUGAUGAGGAAACGAAGAAGAAUCACGAAAUUAAUAGCAGAAUAUAAGAUUGAUAUAUGUUUCAUGCUGGAAACUAAGCUAGCUAAUUGUUCCAUUGGUUUUGUAUCUCGUAUUUGGAAUGAAAAUCAUGUGAGUUGGUUUAGUAAUGAUGCUCAAGGAUCAAAAGGAGGUCUGCUUGCUAUGUGGAAAAACACUAACUUUGAAGUCUCUAAUAUUGAAUAUGGUCAUGGUUGGAUCGGUUUAUAUGGUAAACAUGUUCACAGUGAUUUUCAUUGCUUUGUUAUUGGCAUCUAUGCUCCUUGUAACUAUCAGGACAGACAAAAACUUUGGGAGGAUCUCAUUCUUCUGAAGCAUGCUUUUGAAGUUCCAUGGAUAAUAGCAGGAGAUUUUAAUGAAACGCUCUCUCAGAAAGACAGAAACAGUGGAAUUUGUCAUCCUGCAGGCUCAAAUUCUUUUAGCAGAUUCCUGCAGUCUUGUGAGCUCACUGAAUACCCUUUAGCAGAAGGUUAUUUUACCUGGUUUAGAGGAAGGUCCAAGAGCAAACUAGAUCGAAUGUUCGCAAGCUCAACCUACCAUCUUCACUUCCCCAGUUUAUCUCUUCGACGACUUCCAAGAGAGUUCUCAGAUCAUUGCCCUCUAAUUCUAUGUAGCUUCUUGCAAGACCAUGGAUGGCGUCCUUUUCGUUUCUUGGACUGUUGGACUCAAUACCCAAAUUUCAAGCACAUUAUUGAAAGCUUCUGGAAUGAUGCAUGCUCCCUUCACCCUGGCCGCUUUAAAUUUCUCAAAAAGCUUAAUCAUAUUGCAGUCAAAUUGAGGCAAUGGAAUAAGCUUGUAUUUGGAAAUCAAGAAGCUGGCCUUCAACGAACCCUUUCAGCUAUCAACAUACUAGAGGAAAAAUGUGAAGAAGAAGGUUUAACCGACCAAGAGCAGGAGCAUUUAGACUUUUUGUUGAAAGACCGCUGGGUUCGCAACAAUCACAUUGAAUCUAUUUGGAGGCAGAAAUCAAGACAGAUGUGGUGCAAAUUGGGUGACAGAAAUAACAAGUUUUUUCACAUGAUUGCCAAUUUCAGGAAGGCUAAAUCAUCAAUACUUAAAAUCCACCAUAAUGGCAACACUUUUGACUCUCAGCAGGGAAUUAAGCAGGCUGCUGUGGAUUAUUUCUCUGAGCUGUAUGACUCUCCCUCUGGUAAAAAGCCGCAGUUAAAUCCUUUGGGUUUCAAAUGUCUCUCUAAAGAAUCCUCUGAAUGGUUGGAGCAAGAAAUCACAAUGGAAGAAGUGAAGCGCGGUGUAUGGGGUUGUGAUGGGUCAAAAUGUCCUGGACCAGAUGGUUUCAACUUCAAAUUCUACAGAUUAGCAUGGGAUUUUAUUGCUCAAGACAUUCUCGAUAUAGUCUUAAGCUUCUUCAGAACAGGAAGGCUUCCCAAAGGAAUCAAUACAACCUACGUAACUCUCCUCUCUAAGACAGUCGAACCCAUUGAGUUUAAAGAUUUUCGGCCCAUCAGCAUGAUUCAUGGUAUUUAUAAGAUCAUUGCUAAAAUCCUUGCUUCUAGACUGAAAGUUGUUAUGCAAGAUAUCAUUAGCAUUAACCAAUCAACGUUUAUAGCAGACCGUAACAUUAUAGAUGGCUUUAUGAUUGCAAAUGAGCUGGUGAAUGAUCUAAAAAAGCAAAAAGCGGCAGGUUUGAUUUUCAAGAUUGAUUUUCAUAAAGCUUUCGACUCAGUCUCCUGGGAUUACCUAGAUGAUAUCAUGGGUUAUAUGGGGUUUGGUAGAAAAUGGAGAACCAUGAUUUAUGAAUGUCUUUCUUCAUCAAAACUCUCGGUUUUCAUCAAUGGAUCUCUUUCAAAAGAAUUCUCUGUUCGGCGAGGGCUGCGUCAAGGAGAUCCGAUUUCCCCUUUUCUGUUUGACAUAGCUGCUGAGGGCCUCUCUGUACUCUUUCAAAGGGCAUCUAGUGGGAAUAUUAUCAAAGGGCUGCAAUUUGCAUUAGGAAUUUUUGUCAGCCAUCUUCAAUAUGCAGAUGACACAUUAAUAUUCAUCCCAGCAGAUAUUGAUCAGUUAGUUCAAGUCAAAAGAAUUUUAAGAUGGUUUGCUCUGUCUUCAGGCCUUCAUAUAAACUUCCAUAAAAGAUCCAUUAUUGGUAUCAAUGUCGAUGAUCACUUGUGCUUGCGCUUGGCUACAUCUAUUUUCUGCAGAUCAGACUCCCUCCCAAGCAAAUAUCUUGGCAUGCCAUUAGGAGCCAAUCCAUCUCGUAUCUCCACAUGGAAGCCAGUGAUAGAGAAGUUUCGUAAAAGGCUUCAUAUAUGGAAGGGGAGACUACUAAGCAUGGCUGGUCGUCUAUGUCUCAUUAAAAGUGUCCUUAAUUCCCUGCCUAUAUAUUUUAUGUCUGUAUUCAAGAUGCCAAAAGGGGUAGGCAGGCUUCUUUCAUCCAUCCAAAGACGUUUCUUGUGGUGUGGAUGUACCAAGCAAAGAUCUUUCUGCAAGAUCCAAUGGAGAAUAGUGAUGCGCGAUAAGAAACAAGGAGGCCUCGGUGUAGGCUCCCUUAUAUCAAAAAACAGAGCCCUGCUUCUAAAAUGGAUUUGGAGACUCUCUUCCCCAGGUACAAGCUUAUGGAAAAUGAUUAUCUCUUCAAUGUACAAUCCAUCUUAUGAGAAUGGGAUCCCAAUUUUCUACAACCAACCAUCCAAGAUAUGGAAGGAUAUUAUGUCCAUCGUUCAAACCGACGUUCACCAAGUCUUCACGAAUCAUUGCAAAUUCAUGGUGGGGAAUGGCAAUUUAACAUCCUUUUGGCUAGACAGCUGGAUUGGUGACGACCCUCUCAAAACAGCCUUCCCAAGGCUAUAUCUUUUGUCUUCCUCUAAAACUGCUUUGGUGGCUGACAUGGGUAGAUGGAGCAAUGGAAUCUGGCUCUGGUCCCUACAAUGGCGCAGACCUCUUUUUCAUUUUGAACAAGAACAACUAUCACUUUUAUCAUCCUUGCUGGAAUCCAAGCCAAUGUUCUGCCACAAGAUGGAUAAGAAAAUCUGGACCCUCAACAACGAUGGCCUCUUCAGUGUAAAAUCUUGCUCCAAAAUGAUGGACCAGUUACUCUACGGUGGAGCCAAACCAUUCCAAUCUUCUGUUUGGAUAAAACUAACCCCACCAAAAGUGCAGCUUUUCCUUUGGCUCCUUGUCCAAGACAAAGUAACCACAAGAGAUUUCCUAUUUCAACGCGACUACCUCUCCCUUCAGGAGUCAAGAUGUGCUUUCUGCAAUAAAAGCUUGGAAUCUUCAAGUCACCUCUUCAUUCACUGCCACUUCUCUUGGAAUAUAUGGAUGAAACUGUUUUCUAAUCGGGGCUUUUGCAGUGUUUUUCCAAAAUCUGUUGAUGAUAUGUGCUACCAAUGGUCUUCUAUGGUUAAAGGCAAGCAACAAAAUCUCUCAUGGCAACUUCUUUUCUCAUGCGUUGUUUGGAAUCUUUGGCUUCAUCGAAAUGAUGUUAUUUUUAAUGACGCUGCCCCUAACCAUCAAAUCUGUUUCUCCAUGGUGCGCCAAAGUAUUGCUUUAUGGUUGAGGCUUGACUCCAACUCUUUCGAGCUUAACAUAGAGAAUGUUUAGUCGGGAGGAGUUGGUUUCUUUUGAUUUGUCUGUUCUCCUUUUGUUGUUAUCCCCUGUUUCAUGAAACAGUUUUUGUGCUUCCCUUUCCUCUGCUUGUUCUUCUGAUGUAAGUUAGGCUACUAUCUUUGUAGCUUUUUCCUUUUAAUAAAAUUUCGACUAUUAACAAAAAAAAAAAAAAAAGGUAUCAGUAUGAUUGGAGUUUGGAAAUUGAUGAACAAUGGGGAUUGGAGUUGCUGGUGAUGCAUGAUUUUGAGCUAGAAUUGCCCCUCUCGAUACGAAACCAGGUGCCUGAUAGAUAAAAUUAGGUUUCAAUACGAGUUCGAAAUAUACUGCAAAUGAGGGAAGUAAUGAGGAGCUUACAGGUGAAAACAAGACCCCUCUGAAAAUCUUCCCAUUAACAGUUGCAGUCAUUAGAAGGCCUAAGUCGAAGGCUCCGUCAACUUUACCUCGAACUUCAGCACCAACCUAUGGAGAAAGAGAAGAAAGUGAAAAGCAAGUAUUAGCAGAACAGGAAGGAAGACAGACAAAAAAAUUUGUAAUUGACAAUGUUUUGCAUUGCAUAUAUCAACUUAAUGAUUUACCAGGUUUUGAGUACACCCUGGCUCCAUGGAUCUAUGUUCCACUGCUGGGAAUGGUGUUCCUUGCCUGCCAAACCCUGCAUGAACAUAUUGUUCUACUCUUUUAUUCUCUUGAAACUUGGAGCCUGUGCCGGGUUUUUUGGAUCACAAGUCUAGGUAGUUUCUGAUUACAUGCAACACUAUCAGCCUGGUAAUUUCUUGGAAUUUUGUAUAAUUAAAUAAUCUAAUCUUAAACCACUACUCCAAUUGUUGAUAUAAAAGUUUAAAACCGAUCUAAUUAAAAGAAUUCAAAAUUAAGUGUGAAAAAUAACUAAAAUAAAAAAUUAAUUCAAAUAACAAAAACAAAAUCUUUUGCAUCUGAUUUGAGAAAAUUUAUGUGGUGGAUGACCGAGCCUGUAAAAUUAUAUGAUAAAAUUUAAGUAUAAUUUAAAAAUUAAAUUUAAAAUUAUUUUUAUCAGGUUUUAUGUCUAAUGUGUUGAAUUUGUUUAUGGAUUUCUAUUCAGGCUUAAUCAUAAACGUCUUUGUUUACACGUCAUAAUUAAAGCAUAAAAUGUCGUGUAAGCCGAUGCUUGACUUUUUUAAAAAAUAAUUUAGUUUCGGUUGACUCACAAAAUUGAGACAUCUAGCUAGUCACUCAUGGCUUUAGACGUACCUCUUGUAAAGAUAUCAACGGCUUUACGUCUACCAAGUGUCAGAAGAUUAGAGAUUGAUAUUGUUAGAAUGUUGUUAAUAUUGUUUGUUAGCUAAGAGAGUUUGUUAGUAUUGUUUCAGUGCUAAGAGAAAGAACAGAUACCGUGUAUUACCUUUCUAAUAUAGCCUAUAUAAACUGAGGAUUAGUGAUGUGAAAAUAAUGAAAGAAAAAGUAAUAAUAAAACAGUGCGAGACUUCAUCUUCUGCUUCUCUGUAACAGAAUUAUUCUAUAUUCUUCUUCCUUUCUAUUCUCUGCACUUUCUUCAUUUCUGCUCCUUUUCUGUAUAAAUUCUACCGUCUAUCAUGGUAUCAGAGCAGUAACUGGUCCGAUGGGAUGUCUUCUGAUUGUCAAGAAUUAUACUGGCGAUCGUCUAAAUUUUGGUUUGGCUGCUAAGCAAGCAAAAUCUGAAGGUUAUAAAGUAGAGACUGUAAUUGUUGGAGAUGACUGUGCUUUACCUUCACCUCGAGGCAUAGCUGGACGAAGAGGGUUGACGGGGACUAUUCUUGUUCAUAAGGUUGCUGCAGCUGCAGUUACUGUUGGCCUUUCUCUUGAUGAAGUUGCUGCAGAAGCGAAACGUGCAUCUGAAAUGGUUCUAAUAUCUUGCUAAUCUCUGUUUCUGUAGAGAGAGCAAUACGGUCUCUUAAGAUUCAUACUUCUCAACAAGCUUGCACAAAGAGUCACUAAAUUGCUUUUGGCCACUUGCCAGAGCAAGUACGAUAGUCUUCUCCAUCAAAUCCUGAAGAAGAUCAAUAUAUAACAAAGAGUCGCCGCCAAUGUAUUACCAGCAGCCAUUAAUCUCUGUUUCUGGCAUUAUUAUCUCCUUAUCUACACAAUUCUUUCAUAAUAAUCGAUAUGUCUAUCAUUUGUUUGAUAUAUUGUCAAACUGAAAAAUUCUUCUUCAAAUCUUCAACUUUCUGCAAGAUUCUUCCUUCUCAAUCUUUGAUUCUCUUCUUUUCUAUCUCUUGCACUCUAAAAAUGGCGACUACUUCUCAACUUCAGAUAGUUCAACUCUAAUAAGAGAAUAUACACAUAAACGUUUUCUUCUUCCUCUACACUACAUAAUUUCUCUCUGCUUCUCUUCAUCUCUAUUCUCUGCUUUUCUUCUCUUCAUCUAUAUUGCUUCUAUUCUCUGCUUUUCUAUUGCAGUAUCUCCCUCUAAUUCUAUUCACUUCUUUGUUCAUCUCUGUGACGAUUCUUGCUAGCUUUUCAAAAUAUUUCUUCUAUCUCCAUUGCUUCCAAUCCAGUGUUCCAUUCCAGGAUGAAACAUCUCCAGAUCGAUUAUCACUUUGUUAGGGAACGGGUUAUCAAGGGUGAUUUACUGGUCCAGCAUGUCUUCUCUACUGAUCAGUUUGCUGAUAUCCUCAUCAAAGGUCUUUCCAUUUCUUUGUUUCAGCAUCAUUGUUCCAAUCUCAUGCUUGGCUCCUCCAAGCCUGCGAUUGAGGGGGCAUGUAAAGAUAUCAACGGCUUUACGUCUACCAAGUGUCAGAAGAUUAGAGAUUGAUAUUGUUAGAAUGUUGUUAAUAUUGUUUGUUAGCUAAGAGAGUUUGUUAGUAUUGUUUCAGUGCUAAGAGAAAGAACAGAUACCGUGUAUUACCUUUCUAAUAUAGCCUAUAUAAACUGAGGAUUAGUGAUGUGAAAAUAAUGAAAGAAAAAGUAAUAAUAAAACAGUGCGAGACUUCAUCUUCUGCUUCUCUGUAACAGAAUUAUUCUAUAUUCUUCUUCCUUUCUAUUCUCUGCACUUUCUUCAUUUCUGCUCCUUUUCUGUAUAAAUUCUACCGUCUAUCACCUCUAACUUCGCUUACUAUGCUUAUUAUGCAAAGCAAUUAUUUUCAAGCUUGUGGAACGGGGUGUUCCUCCAUCUUCUUGUUUAACUGCUUUCUUCAUAAACUUGGGAAGUCAUGUGUUAUGAACAAUUGAUUUGAUCUUGUGAAAUAUAUGGCAGAAGAGAUUAGAAAAUGACUUCUAUUAUCAAUAAUUUCUUCUUCCUUGUGAAAUGAUUUCCCGAUACAGCUCUUAAUUUCAACACCUGCUUGCUCUUCUUUUCUUAGUAGACCUGGGAAGCAAAGAUUCCUAAUUAUCCACAUCAUCAAUCGCGAUCCCAUCAAAAAUGAAUUUGGUGGAAGAAAGAAAAACAAAUUGAAAGAAAAAUUAUCAAUUAAGAUUUCAUGUCGUCACAAAAAACAAUUACGAGCUUCAUAAGAUAAUUUUAGCUAGUUUGUCUUAAACUCAUUAGAACAUCCUUUAAUCUUCAACUGCUGUCAUUUGAGAUUUCAUGUUUGUGUUUUCAAUUAAGAUUACACAUCCAUUUGUCAGAAAUACGCACCAAUAUUCCUUAUUACCUAACCUUAAUCCUGUAAUUCUGAUUCUGAACUGCUCUUUACACUCCUUUUCCAUCGAUCAAUACAGAUCAAUCUUUAUUAUUUGCUCCAGGUUGCUGCUGCUGGUUACUCUGUCAUGGAUUAUUAUUUUUCAGUAGUCAGUUAUCCUAGUGCUUGCUUGGACAUGCUCAACAAUGGAGUUUCUCUAAAUGUAAUUCCCACAGUGAAAUCUUCUGUCAAAGUCAUUUCAAGCCGGAAAAGAUCAGGAAAAUGCAGUCUUGAAACAUCAAGCGAAUAGUGCCCAGCAGGAAAAAUUCGUUUCUACUAACAAAUGGAAUGUAAAGUUGAUCCAAGGAUGCUACUAACUUACAAGAAAUUAAAUCAUCAAAGAAAAAAUAUCCACUAGAAGAAGUGUUCUUUCCUUCUAUUUAAAAAGAAUUCGAAAUUUUACUAGACCCUAAUAACAUGAAGUAAAUCUGUUUUUUUUACUCUUGGCUUGUUCUCAAAAAUUUUAUUGAUAUUAAUUAAAUAACAAAGACAAUGAUGUAGCUAGUAUGAACUAUGAAAAUUGAGAACGAGAGGGAUGAUCAGGAAUGGAUUAAGAAAAAUGGGCUUGAAAGAGACCCAACAGGAGAGAAAAAUCUAAAAUAAACUCUUGAUGUCUUUCAUAACUCAAUUUUUGACUCUUUUUAUUUUAUUAUUAUUACUAUUAUUUUAUUUAUUGAAAAAUGAUAAUAAAAAAAAUAAUGAUGAAAAGAAAAUAAAAAAUGAAGAAUAAAUUAAAAUUAGGUUAAGGCAACAUGAUUGGAAGUUUUGGGGAUUAAUUAAAGUUUGGAAUUAAUUCAAUCAAGGGUUUAAUUGGAGAAUUGAUAAGUUUUGAGAUUAAUUGAGUUUGGAAUUAAUUGAAUUAAUGAAAAUCAAGGAUUUAAUUAGAGAAUUGACAAGUUGUUAGACUUAUUUGAACUUGGAAUUAAUUUAUUCAUGGACUUAAUUGAAAAACCAUCAAAGUAUAGGGCUGAUUAUGGUCAAAUUUGCAAGAAAUUAAAACCCAAGGACCAAUGUGUAAAUGGCGCUGAGAUUCAGGGGUUCAAUUACAAUUUACCCAAGGACUGGACUGCAAAAAGUCAACAUGUCUAGGAUGAAAACGCAAAAGGCCAUUAACAUCAGCACUGUUCAUCUUCUUCACCCGAAAACGCAUGCCUUUAUUGCAUUAAAAUCCAUGCAACCGCAUGGCAUUCUCUGGUUAUAAAAACCAGAGAAGGAGAACGAGCACCAGGUUAGAGAGGGGGAGAGGAGAAAAUAAACAGACUUUCAUUCCUCUGUUUCUUCUUAAGGAAACAGAGGAGGUUAAAGAAAAAAGCAACAAACAGGAGGAAAAAAGAGCAAAACCGGGGGGAAAAAGGGAGAGAAGACAGAGAGAGUGAGCGACCGAAAAGGGGAAAACAAAAGGAAAAACUGAGAGACAGGGGAGAAAAGGCAGAACCGAGGGGACUAAAGGGGGGGAAUAAAAGAAGAAAACAGAGGAGACAAAAACCGGGGAGAGGGGGAGACACAGAAUCAGUUUCAACCAUCUCUUCACCAUCUUCAACAACUCUUCAGCCUCCAGGAACCCAGACAGGAGAAGAAACCCCAUCGACUUGCUUUGGGAAGACGCAGAGUUACAGAAUAGAGAGCGGAGAAGCAUACGAAAAAAAGAGGGGGGCAAGCUUCCAUUCAACCGACAGCACCUAGCAUCUUCAUCACCAUCGUUGAUGUCCUGAGCAGAGGAAACACAGAAGGAAGACCAAGGAAAGCAGUAGACAAGAGUCACCACCAGCGUCACCACUGUUUUUGUCGCCUCCAGAAGCAGCAGCUUCAGAUCUCCAUCUUCAGUAGCCACUGCACCAGAAACAGGGCACUCCAGGAGAGAAAUACAGGGAAGAACCGGGGAAGAAAAGGAGAAAGAGAAGGAAGAAGAGAGGAAGAACAAGAGGUGGCAGCGCCGUUCGUCCAGCGCAGUGCGCCAUCGUCUCCGGCUACGCCUUGCUGCACCAGGUAAGUCUUCUCUCGUCUCUCCCCUCCUGCGUUAUAUUUCACUUGCCACUCUAGCAAGUGAAUUAUAAUUAAUUCACUACCCAACCGGGUCACUGGCUUCGGCCAGUGACCAGACCAGGAAUGUUGGGUCUACCUAGCCAUGUAGGCUGGAUCAGACCCAGCCCCACAAAAAAAAUAAAAAAAAUAAAAAAAAAAACAAAAAAAAACUAGAAAGUGUAGAAAUAAAAAUUUUACAUGUCUUAGGAAAAAUGUAUUUUUGUCAAUUUAUUCACUGAUAUUAGGAUCAGAAAUAAAAAAAAAUAUAUACUGAUUUUUUUUUAGCUAUGAAUUUCUACACCAGAGUUGGAAUUAUUCAUGGUGGAAUUUUUACCAACGCUAGAUUUGGAAUUAUUCGUGGUGGAAUUUUUAAACUCUAGAGUUGGAAUUAUUUGGGGUAGAAUUUUUACCAACACCAGAGUUGGAAUUAUUUGAAAUCGAAUAUUCACUGACACUAAAGUCAGGAAUAUUAUAAACAAAUCAUCAUAGCAUAAGCGAAUAAAUGUUUAGUAAUUUAAGACAAAACCAGCAAUGCAGUCUGCCUCAGGCAGAACAUUUAAAGGGUGAUAAUAUCUUCCCUUUUACAUAACCAAUCCCGAACCAUAGAAUCUCUGUUGACUAGUUAGGGUUUCUAGUGGCGACUCCUUAAACAAGAUUUUUUUCCCCUAAAAGAACAAGAUGCCAGAAAUCUAUUUUUUAUUCUUUUUCCAUAAUGAAGAUUAUUUUUAGAGCCGCCGGGUGCGACAAUGUUUAAAAUAGCCUAGAAGUAGGGCUUAGAUAGCUAGGGCUGAGAAAAUUGCCAAAAUAGGUAAAUACUGAUUAUUCAAUAAAUAAAUAAAAUAUUGCCUUGUUUUAAGUUUAGACUUAUGUUCUUUCAGCAAACAAAAUUAUUGUAGAACCACAUUCCACCUUGCUGGUAUGAUCCUGUGGUUCUAUCAAUUAUUUUAUUAAUUGAGAAAAUACUGUAAACUAUUACAAUUGUGAAUAAAUUCCAUAUUAUUAGGGAUAUAGUAAUCACAAGAAGCCAAGAAAUCUAAGAGCAAAACGCAACAUAAUUAAGACAUAACAAACAAAUAUGGAUACAAGCACAAGAACAAACACAAGUCACAUCAAAACAGAAAGGCUAAGCAACAAGAACCGGACACUUCGACAGAACACUUCUCACAGGCAAAUUGCUAAACAUGCAGUGAUCAACCCUUGAUUUGGAAUGCGACUGCAUCCCCAUAGAGGAUCACAACAAAUUCAGAAAGCAGCCCACACGCUGAUAAGACCCAAUCACCUUUUGAAUCUGGACAACUUGCGAAAGUUUAUAGCCAAAAAGCAGUAGCAAGUGUCAAUGCACUCUUCAAUGAAGUAAAACCACCUGCGUCGCCAAUGCGGAUUUAUGCACAGUACUGCUGCAAUUGUCAACACCACAAUUAUGUAAAACACACCAAAGCUGGCAUAGAAACUGUCCAUGUCUAUUAAUCCAUCAUCUCCAUUGGAAUUGUUAGGCACUCUCACUGAUGGUGAUUCUGUUUUGUCGCAACUGUUUUGCAAUGGAGGUCCACAAAGAAGAGGAUUCCCUUUAUAACUGCUCUCAUCAAAGGUAGCAAAUUGAUAUUUCAUCUCCGGUGUUCUUCCUGACAAAUUAUUGUACGACACGUUGAAAACUGCUAGAAAGUUCAGUUCAACGAGUUGUGCAGGAAUUCUCCCAUUCAAGUUGUUGUGAGAAAGAUCCAAGCUCUCUACGUGCUUCAGAUUGGAGAAAGAUGAAGGGAUCAAUCCCGUGAGAUUAUUUUGUGACAGAUUUAGAGCGAAUAUGUCACUUAAGUUUCCCCAUUCUGUCGGGAUUUCUCCAGUGAAUCUAUUACAAGACAGAUCCAUAGCAGACAUGUAACGAAGGAUAUCGCCCUCGUAAGUGUAGAAAUUUUUCUUUGCUGUAAGCUCUACAGCUAUUUUUACAUCAAUCUCUGGCCACAUAGUUUUGCUAUCAAUAUGAAAACCUCUGUUACCCAAUUUUCUCCCCCCUAUGGAUGCCAAUAUUUCUUUCUGGCUUCCAUCAUCUUCUGACACCGUAUCUGUGACGACCAAAGUUUUUUCACCCGAUGCCGUAAAAUUUAAAUUGCUUAAACAUAAGGGUAACGGACCAGAAAAAUUAUUUUCUGAAAGAUCCAAUAUGCUUAAUUUCCUUAACAAGCAUACCUGAACAGGAAGUUCCCCAUUGAAUUGAUUAGAUUUCAGAAGAAGAAUGCUCAAUUUCGAUAGUCUAUCAAUCCAAUUUGGAAUUGGCCCAGUUAAGUUGUUAUUGCCAAGAUCUAAUGUCACCAAAUGAGAGCUAUUAUAAAAAGCAUUUGGCAGUGGACCACUCAAUCGAUUUCUGUAUAGGUGGACAUAGCGUAAAUAUGGUGUUUGGAAGCCCAACGACAAUGACCCAGACAGAUUGUUUUCAGAAAGAUCUAAAAAUUCAAGCAAAUAACAUCUGAAAAGCUCUAUUGGAAUGGUACCUUCAAAAUGAUUUCUGGACAAGUCAAUUCCCUGCAAGAAUAUUGAAGAGUUCCCAAUUCCCUUUGGAAGCGUGCCUGACAAAAGAUUGUUACUGAUAUCAACCAACCAAAGUGAUGAUGCAAGAGAAAAGGUGCCAGAUACUUGUCCAACAAAUUUGUUUCCAUCUAGAAAGAGGUAACGCAGGUGAGUCAUGUUGAAAACAAAAGGCGGUAAUCGCCCUUUGAAAUUGUUAUUGGACAGCUUCAAAAACCACAACGAGGAGCCUCCUGUAGGCAAGUUAUGCUCAAGUAGUUCACAAGUCAUAUGAUUGUUGGAAACAUCCAAGUAUGCGAGAGAGCUCAUAUUCCCAAAAGGAGGAAUGCAACCUGUAAGGUUGUUGUUAGCCAUCAAGAAGUUCUUCAAACGUGGAAAAAUCAAACAUGUGUUUCUUGCAAUUUGACCAUGGAUGUUGUUGUCAGAAAUAUCUACUGUCCGAAGGUUGGGUGUUGGAUGUUGUGGCAACUGCAAAGGACCUGUAAUUGAGGUGUCUCUCAAAUAUAAUCGAUUUAACAUUCUAUUAUUCUCAACCAGCCAUGAUGGGAAAGGUUGUCCAAUGAAUUUGUUGUGGGAUAGAUCAACAAACAUCAAAUCAUAUUGGCUAUGGAGGAAGUUUGGAAAUCCAGCCUUGAGUGGUUUUGAAGUACAGUUUGAAGCACUGAAAAAACGAAGCUGGAACUUGGUAGCUGAAGGCUGAAAACUGGGUGCAGGUAUUAGCUCAUUGUUAUCGCAUGCAAUGAACUUGAGGUUGGAGUGGUUCAUAAAUGAACCAAAAGAUAUUGGAACUUGAAAGUAAUUAUUUGAAACUGAGAGGUAUUCAAGCUGCGUAAGAUGGGAGAGGUGACUAAAGGCAAUAUUUCCCUCCAAUUGAUUGUCAGAUAAAUCCAAGAAUUGUAGAAAUGAUAGAUUUCCAAGACAAGGAGGGAGCAAGCCCGUUAGUUUGUUUCCUGAGAGAAAUAGCUGUUCAAGAUUCGUCAGUUCACACCAGCCUGCACAUUAUAUCCAUAUGUUCAUGUCAAGGGAAUAGGAAUAUAUCAAUUAUGUACUAUUCGUUGAGAGAUCUAUUCGAAUACAAGUUUAUUAGCGAUUUAAUUUACCUUGGUGAGGCAGGGUGCCAUUUAGCAUACAGCUUUCCAGAGACAAAAUUCUGAGAGCAGGAAACGGUCCAAUAUUUAGAAGAAAACUUGCUGUCAUGGGAGAAGCUCGAUCCAGGAAUAGCUCUUCAAGUUUGGUGAAAUUCUGCGGUCCUAAAGGAUUAAGAAAGGUGCGUUCUUAAUAUCAUUUGAGUUGAGAUUGAAGGAAGCGGAAACAUAAAGGGAUUGGGUUAUUAAAAAAAAAUUAUUAUGGGAAAUUAAAAUCAUUUCCGACAUAAAUUUCUAUUUUAUUGAUCCAUAUGUAUAACCAGCUUAUAAAAGGAAAAACGGAGAAAUUUUUGUUGAUAAAAUUACUAAAUAUCGUCAUAAACGUAAUGGUUUAAUAACAUGAAAAUUCUUUUAUUCUUUCAUGGGAAAUUUUUAGAUUCAUCAUUUGACACAUAUUUUUGCUAUCCGAAGAAAGGAGCUUGAGAUUUGAGUGGUUCAUAAAUGAUUCAACUACUUAACAAAACUGGGACUUGAUUGUAAGACACAUCCACCAGUUGUAAUAGAUGACAAGUUUCUCAAACAAGUUGUGAUGAGGGACACGUAUCUACAAGUUUAAACUCAGAAAGAAGUCUGAAUGUGUCAAAUAAUCUUUUAAUUACCUUGAGCAGGUCCGGUGCCAUGGAAGUCAGCUCUGGUCAAGGAUAAAACUUUAAGAGUAGACAAGGGUCCAAUGUUCCGAAGAAAGCUUGUUGGGAGAGAAGAAUAAUCGAGGAACAUUUCUUCAAGGCUAGUCGAAUUACACAAUCCUGUGGAACAGAUAAGAUAAAUCCAUUAAUGAAAGUGAUAUAUAAAUAUCAUGUUUUAGGCUCCAAACUGUAACUGACCUUUACCAGAGUGUAUUCCUUUAAAUUUGCUCCCAGUAGCAUAUAAGCUCUUGAGGGAUGGCAACGCUCCCAAUGACUCUAUCAAAAUGCUUUCCUUGAAGUCAAUUAUUUCCAGAUACAAGAUUUCUAAAUUCCUCAAACCUGUGAUGGAGAGCACAAUUAAUAAUAAUGGCUUUUUUAUUUUUUAUUUUUUAUUUUUUCCUGAUUCCAAGUGGUACAGAUAUGUGUGUUCUACAAUUUGUUUUAUUUAUGUGUUGUCAUCUGGAAUAAUUUGGAGCACUAUCGUAGAAUGAGCAGGGGUGCAUGCAGAGUAAUUGAUCUAGCAGUUUCCGGCUGCUGUGUUCUACAAAUUUUUGUUCUUGACUUUUUGUUUGCUCUAUCUAGUUGGAAGUUUUAGCUCAAAAUUGUUGAUAUAAAUAAUUUCUAAUGUUAAAGAUUAAUAUAUAAUUAUUAUUAGAAACUUACCCAACAAUUUAAGUCUUUGAAUUAAAUUAAUUUUAAUAUGAUAUUAGAAUUUUAAUAACCAAAUGUUUAUGAAUUUAAAUCAUCUCACCUCCAUUCCUUUAAUAUUUUUUAAAAAAUAAUCAGCACUAGCGAAAGGUAUACCAUGUAAGAAUCCAUAACUAUUUCACUUGAAAAAAUAUGUUAAAGGAAUUAAUUAUAUAAAAGCAUUUAUAGGGCUUCAUUCAUCUGCUUGAUGAUUAAUGCACAGCUAAUUAUUAAAAAAGUUAACAAAAUAAUAAAUUAAGCCUCUCUAAGGAAUGUCAUCGAGGUAGGAAUGAUUUACCAUUGAGACCAAUUGAUCCUGUAAACUUAUUUUUUGAUAGAUGUAGAGAUUUGAGAGUUGAAAAACCACCGAGAGAUGAUAAAAUACUAUCGUUAAAUUUAUUGUCACUCAGUUCAAGUUCCUGCAAUUCCCUCAACCCUGAUGCUAGCUCGUGAAAACCUAUAAGAAAAUUGUCAAAAGCAAAAAAAUUAACAAAUAUAUAUAUUUCAACCAUCCAUUAUCCAUAAAAGUUCAAUGAAAUAUAAAUUUAUGUAUUAAUUUUUUAUAUACCAAUUGUUCCUGUGAACCUAUUGUUUGAUAGAUGUAGAGAUUUGAGAGUUGAAAAACCACCGAGAGAUGAUAAAAUGUUGUCGUUAAAUUUAUUGUCACUCAGAUCAAGUUCUUCCAACUUUCUCAACCCUGAAGCUAGUACUUGAAAACCUGAAAGAAAAUUGUCAGAAUAAAAAAGAUUACACCUGAAAUUUAUUUUUCAUUGAACUUUUUUGGAUAUUGGGAUAUUGUAUGAUAUAUAUACCCCAAUAUCCAUAAAAGUUAAAUGUAAAGUUACUUGAAAUAUAACUUGAAGUGUUAACUAAAAACAAUUGAACCUUGAUUCUCUAAGACACCAUCUAAUCGGUUGUCGCUUAAGUGGAGAAUCUCCAAUUCUUUGAAAGGCAGAAACAAAGAUGCAUUGAGAUCCAAGUCUUCGAAUGGAAAAGAACUUACACCUGAAAGAUGAAGUUCGAUCACUCGGUUUGUGGUGCUGUCGCACACAACCCUACCCCAGUUACAGCAAUUAAAAUGCUCUUUAUCCCAACCUUUUGAUAGAGGUAGUAUAGAUAACCCAGCAGUUGCAUGACUGAACCAAGCUUUUAUCUCUAAGAGACUAAUUCUCUCUUCCUCUAAACAACAAUGGCACCGCUCGUUGACGAAGGCCAGUGCCAUGAGCAGCAUCCACACCCACAUUUGCCUCAUCUUCAUAUUGACUCUCCUACUUGACAAAAUACAAUAGCAAUCAAGUUGUCUCUUAUAUACAAUUUUGUCCUCUUCAUGCAUUUGAUCGGACAGUGACAGUUAUCUGUAUCAUUGAAUUAAUUAUCCAAGGUAGACUUGGGCUUAAUUGAAUGGGAGAGUCUUCACGGACAGUGCUAGCCGUGGGCCCGCACCACGGCACAGAUCAACGUGGUUGUUGAUAUAUAUUUUUUUGUUAUACUAUCUUAUUAUUUAAUUCUUUUUUGUUUUUAUGUUUUAUGUUUCCCUGAUCUACUAUUGCAUUUAGUACCUUAACAAUAUGCAUUCAUUGCCAUCUAGAAUUUCAUUCAAUAGAGCGAUUAAUCAAGAAACUUAUUAUUGACUUUCAUUUAAAUUAGAAUACAUGAAUAAUUUAUGAGUUUGAAAAAUGUUAUCCAUCCAUAUUAAUUACACAAAUUUUAAAAUAAAUUGCAAUUAAGUUUUUCCAAACAAAUAUCAUUACAUAAGGAAUACGUACGUACUCAAGACAUAGGAAGCCAAGUUUCCAAGAUAAUCCAUUAUUCAAUUUUGUGAAUGAUGAAACUUUUCAAGAUAAUCCUUAUAUAAUAAGGUUUGAUCAAUUUUUUCGAGAUUGUGUUAUCAUAAAUCACAUAUCGUUUAAGUUUCCAGCUUAUAAUAAUAAUUUACACGAAUUAUUGGUGAGAAAUCUCCAAAAUCAUUUUAAAAAAGACAAAUCUAUAUGUCUUAUAGUGCUAUCUCUUUUUUUGUGUUUUCAAAUGUUUUUGUAUUAUGUGUACAUUAUAUCAUCUCUCAUACACAAAAUAUGAGACAUAAUAUUUUAUUUUUAGGAAAAAUCUAAUAAUCCCAUAAAUGAUCAAAUAUCAAUUUGCUUUCCCUAAAUAAUAUCACAUAUAUUAUUUCAAAAUAGUUUUAGAAAUUUGUUCAAUCAAGUCUGUACUUAAUUUUUCUAGGUUUAUAAUUGUAAUCACGUGUAUCAACUUCACUUUAGUUCUUAAUUUCUAAAACUUAAUUACAAUCAAGUCACAUUUAAUUAAUCAUCUCAUUUUAAUUUUUGAUCAAUGAUUUUUAAUGUGUGUGGCCAAUUGAGUUCUUAACAAGUUGGCUCAAAUAUAAAUAACAAUCAUAAAUAAAAUACAAUUAAACAAUUUAACAAUUUAACUUAUCAUUAAUUUAACAAAUUAAUUAAUUAAUAUUUGAAAAUCAAGUGCAAUAUUUAAUAACAUGUCAUAACCCUCUAAAUAUUAAAAAGGUCAUACAUGUUUUGACUUAACUUUUUAUUGACUAGUUUCUCAAAGUAAUUAUUAUCCCUUUAUUAAGAAUAUUUUAAUUUAGAUAUUAGAGCACAAAGUAUAUAUGUUCUAUCAAAUCAAAUUUAUUAUCAACAUCAUAGUCAUAGAUUAUUUGAAUAAGAUUUGAAACUCUUUACAAAUCUUAUUACACCUUGCACAAUGAUUUCAUAGUCAAUACUAUUUGUCGCACGUGUAUGGCAUCGCGGCGAUCGUCCACCCUCAAGGAAAAAUGUAAUGGACUAUCUGGUAAAUGUGGAGAGACAAGGAAUUCUUGUCACUUAUCAAUGGAAAAUUUAAAUAGGAGUCGCCACCUAGUAUUCUAGUCACUAGGAACCCUAACUGGUCUUAGAGAUCGGAUACGGAGACUGGUUGCGUAAAGGGAAUGUAUUAGCACCCCAAAUACUCCCUACCUAAGGUAAGCUGCAUUGUUUUGUCUAAUAAAAUCUAAAGUCUUGUUGUGGUUUCUAAUUGUCGGUCCGUUUACAGUUUAAGAAAAGUCCUCUGUAAGGAGAUCCUUAUCUUAUCAGGUAAAACCUAAUUAUUUUAAGUUGUCAAAAGAAAAUACCUUUUUAAUAUCGGGAAUACAUUUUACGUAUAAAUUCAUAAUCUUUGAUACUAAAAUCAAACAAAAUAAAAAUUUUUUUUGUUUUUGAAAUUUUGGUCAAUGUUCUCUUCACUUUAAUAAACUGGUUAUUAAAGCCACAAUGCAUGCUAAAUUUUUUUUUUUUCUGGUGUAUGAAAAACACAAUAUGAUUUUUUUAGCUUUUGAGACACUUGUCCAUAUACACAAAAAGAUUUUUUCUUUUUCUCAAUUUUUUUUGUAUUUUGGAAGUUUUAACAAAAAUCGGGUAUUUUAAUAUCGAAUUUGUAUGUUUACGACGCAAAAUACUGACCGAUAUUAAGCAAAACAAAAGACAUAAAUCAAAAGGAGGAAAUCAGAAAAUAUUAAAAAUAUUUUUUUAAAAUGGGCCGGACCCAGCCCAGAUCAAUGGGCUGGGCCGGACCCAGCCCAGAUCAAUGGGCUGGGCCAGACCCGACCCAAAAAACUAAUGGGCUGGUUACUGUGUAUAAGCACAGUAACCAGCCCUUCACUCUUUCCUGCAGAACGUGAAUUAUUCAUGUUUUGCAUGCAAAUACAGGCAGGGACAAGAAGAGGAAAAUGAAUGAGGCAGCAGGAGGUUACCUAGGGUGGCGUCGAGGCGGUGUUGCUGGCAGCGGCAGUGCUACUAUCGUAGUGGUAGUGUUGGUGGCCGGCGGUGCUUCUCCUUUUUCUUCCUCUCCCUCCUUUGUUUUUUUUUUAUUAUUAUUUCUUUUUCUUUCCUUUUCUCCUCCUCUUUUCUGCUAUGUCUUGUCUCAUCUCUUCUCUUCUCUCUUAUGUUCCUCUAUUUUAUUUUUUUCUUCCCUCCCCUCUGUUUUUUGUUCUUUUUUCGGGUCUGUUUUUCUUCUUCUCUUUCUCUCUUCUUCCUUCUUUUUCUCUGCUCUUUUCAGUCCUCUUGCCUAUCUGCUCUCUUGUCUCUCUUUCUCUCUCUCAGUUUCCCCACCUUUCAUCAUGCUCUCCCCCUCUGUAUUUAUAGGUGAAAACAAAGGGGGGGGGGAGAGGUCGAGGUGGCCACUGUGUUGCCACCCCAAACCGCCCAAGGGGUACGUCCCCUCCAUUCUUCCACCACGUGGCAAGCAAAUGGGUUGUAUCGGCAUCUUUUUUAGCUUUAAGAGAGAGAGGGAGCUAGUGAAAACAGGGGAAUAAAACCUUCUUCUUCCCCUAAUUUCUACACAUCGAAGGGAAGAAAGGUUGUAUCGUUCAAAAAGGCACCAUUUUGGGCUUUCUCUCUUUCUUUGUUUUUAUGAACAGUAUAUGAAACGACGCUGUUUUGGUCAAAAUGCGUCAUUUUAUUUAAAUGGAUUUUGGUGCCAAAACGUGUCAAAUUCAAAAUCAGGCCUUCAAUUUGCAUGUGUUUUACAAUUUAGUCCUUGGUCUCGGAUUUCUUCAAUUAAGUCCCUAAUUGGCCAUCAAACUUCAAUAUUUAUGCAAUUAAGCCCCUAAUUUGACCAAAUUAAAUCUUAAAAAUUAUAUUUUGACCCCAAAACUUUAAUUUAUUUCAAUCAAGCCAAAUUAACUCCAAAAUUAAUUUUUCUUGCAAUCAAAACCUCCAUAAAUUCAAUUAAACCUUUAAGAAAAUUUAAUUGAGUCCAUAAACCUCUGAUUUUGGUCUUUUCUUUCUCAAAUUAAAUUUUCUUUGUCAACAGGGCUAUCAUCAGUCAACAAAAUAUUGUCAAAUUUUAAUUUUUGUAUUUUUAAACCUUCUCAACCAAUUUUUAACCCUUUUUUAGUGUUGCUGAAGACUGUGAAGAUGAUGGUCAACGCCGGUUCUCGUCUCUACGCUUUCAUCCGAUGGGCUGAGUUUGCGUCUCCUUUGCUCCUGGUUUGAGAUUCUGUCAACUUCAGUUCUGAGAUGAAGGGACAAAGAAGAUGGUGGGGCUGCUCCUUGUCUUUGCGUCGUUUCUCUGCUUUUAUUUUUCUCAGUUUUUUCGUUCCUCGGUUCUGCUUCCCCCCUCCUCUUCUUUCAUUCCCUGGCUUCUUAUAGAGCCAGAGAACGUGGUAAUCAGGGUGAGCCACGUUCCCACGAUAUGCAGUUACAGAUGUCCUGCUGAAACGGUCUUGAGCGACGAAGAAGGUGGAGCGUUUGAACUGGAAAUGGCAACUUUCGUUUUGGACCUUGAAUUUUAGAAAGUUUUGUAAUUAAGUCCCUAGUUAAAUUGUAAUUGGACCCCUGCAGUUUGGCAUCUUUUACAAGUUAGUCCUUGGAUUUUAAUCUGUUUGCAAUUGUGCCCCCAAUUAACCCCAAACUUUGCUAUUUUUCCAAUUAAGUCCUUGAUUUCAUUAAUUAAAUUAAAUCCAAGUCCAAUUAAGUCUUAAACUUAUCAACUCUCCAAUUAAACCCUUUGAUUUGAUAAAGUAAAUUAAUUCCAAACUCAAUUAAGUCUCAAAACUUAUUAAUUCUCCAAUUAAACCCUUGAUUUAAAUAAUUAAACUAGUCAAGAAUUUAAUUAAAUCUUUAAACUUCCAAUCAUGUUGCUCCUAACCCAAAUUUUAAUUCAUUCUUUAUUUAUUAAAAUUUUUACUUGUUUUUCAUUUUAGUAAAUAAAAUAAUUAAAAUAAAAGGUAAAAAAUUGGGUUAUGAUAAUUAUUUUUAUCAGAUUUUAUAUAUGAUGCAUCAAGUUUUUUAAUGUUAAUUGAAAAAAAAAUUAGGAUUACAUCCUAGUCGUAGAUAUGAUUAUUAUUCAUUUAAUGUUAAUAGAAACAUAUAUAUAUAUAUAUAUAUAUAUAUAUAGCAAAAGCAAAAGGUUUGAAUUGGUGGUUAAAAACAAAUAUUUUUUUAUUUUGCGGUUCCACCAGAUGCACCAAGUAAAUUAUUGUGAGGGUGCUCCCCUUCAGUAAAACUUUUUUUAAAAAUAAUUUAGUUUCGGUUGACUCACAAAAUUGAGACAUCUAGCUCAUGACUCAUGGCUUUGGCUUUAGACGUAGCUGUAACUUCGCUUACUAUGCUUAUUAUGCAAAGCAAUUAUUUUCAAGCUUCUGGAACGGGGCGUUCCUGCAUCUUCUUUUAUGGCAGAAGAGAUUAGAAAAUGACUUCUAUUGUCAAUAAUUUCUUCUUCCUUGUGAAAUGAUUUCCCGAUACAGCUCUUAAUUUCAACACCUGCUUGCUCUUCUUCUUUUCUUAGUAGACCUGGGAAGUCAAGUUUCCUAAUUAUCCACAUCAUCAAUCUCGAUCCCAUCAAAAAUGAAUUUGGUGGAAGAAAGAAAAAAAAUAAAAAAAUAUCAAUUAUUUUCAAGCUUGUGGAACGGGGUGUUCUUCCAUUUUCUUGUUUUAACUGUUUUCUUCGUAGACUUGGGAAGUCAUGUGUUAUGAACAAUUGAUUUGAUCUUGAAAAUGACUUCUUUCAAUAAUUUCUUCUUCCUUGUGAAAUAAUUUCCCGAUACAGCUCUUAAUUUCAACACCUGCUUGCUCUUCUUUUCUUAGGAGACCUGGGAAGUCAAGAUUCCAAAAUAUCCACAUCAUCAAUCUCGACCCCAUCAACAAUAGUGCCCAGCAGGAAAAAUUAGUUUCUGACGGUGAGAUGAUGCCAAAAUUGUAGUCAAAGAGACUUGGAACUCCCUGAUGAUGGUCUCUAGCUCUGGAGGUUUAUUCUGCCAAAAUUGCAUGGGCCGUUUUACAGCCUUCGUAAUGGGCUUGGCUACUUUGGGUAAUUAAAAAAACCCAAAUCGAUAAUGUUUUUUUUUUUUUCCUUUGGUAUCCGUUUAAUCAAUCUUCUGGUUUGAUCCUUGAUAGUGCUGUGUUUUGAUGCUUGUCGAUUAGCCACAAUAAUGUUAAAUUUACAAGGACAGAUCCAAGAAAAGCAAUGCAGGCCUGUAUUGGUCUCUGGGAGUCCCCUGAUAAAGGCUGCAAUCAUUGCUUGAACCCUUGUAAAGGGGCCUUUACACAUGAGGUCCACUGAAGAAGUACAACACCGUUUUUUUAUUUAAUUCUUAUGGUUUAAAUCUACUAAUAACUUAGUCAUUUUGCAUGCUAUUUUUCCACUUGUUUUGUAAAAUAGAGAAAAGAACAAAGUAAAUCUUUUUUUUUAGUUUAUGGCAUGUUCUCAAAAGUUUUAUUGAUAUUAAUUAAAUAAAAAAGACAUUGAUAUAGCUGAAAAUUGAGAACGAGAGGGAUGAUCAGGAAUGGAUUAAGCAAAAUGGGCUUGAAAAAGACCCAACAGCAGAGAAAAAUCUGAAAUAAACUCUUGAUGUUCAAAAUAGCCCACAAGCAAGGAAAAUUACCAAAAUAGGUAAAUACUGAUUAUUCAAUAAAUAAAGAAACUUCCUAGAAUAAGUGUGACAUCCUUUAAUGUUUUUACCUUUUAGAACAGUUUAUCCAGGUCGAUUCCACUUUGCUUCAACCGACCACAAUGAUCCCAUAUCCAUCUAUACAAAAAUCAAUUAAGCGGUCCAUUGACACAUUAACUUCUCUGGCUCCAUUCCGUCCUGGAUUAGCAAUCUUUCAACAUUGAGUGUUCUUCUUCUAAAAGCUACCUGAUCUUGUCAACCUAUGACAGAUCUAAAGACUUGAGAGCGGAAAGCCCAUUAAAACAUGAUAAAAUGCUUUUAUCAUUAUUAAAUCGGUUCCCACUUAGGUCAAGUACCUCCAGUUUUGAUGGUAGGACUUCGAAGCCUGGAAGAGAAACAUCAAAGCAAGAUAAUUGACAUUAAACACCGACCUUGAUUCUCAAAAUAAUAUAAAUUUAUUCUAUGAUUAUAAGAACAGAAAGAUUGAACCGACCAUGAUUCUCAAAGCAACCAACUAAUCCAUUACCGAUCAAAUCAAGACUUUGCAAUUCGUUAAAAGGCAGAAACAAAGAUGCGUUGAGAACCCAAUCCCCCAAACUCUCAUCCCUUGCACCAAUAAGAGAGAGUCGGAUCACUCGCCUUUGAGUGUUAUCACACUUGAUCCCAUACCACUCACAACAAUUACUACUGUACUCCGCCCAAUCUCUCAUGUAAAUGCUGUUUGGAUUGAUCAAAGGUUUGAUCUCCAUGAGACCAAUUCUCUCUUCCUCCAAACACCCAUAAGAACGACCACACCAUUUCGCCAUCCAAAGUCAAUAAUGUGACCAAAAUCCAAACCCACAAUAUCUUUUUCACCACCAUCUUAUAUUGUUCUAUAAACCACUACGUAGAAUUUUGUUGUUUGUUAUGUGAGUUUGGGCAACCCACAUUUGGUCCCAUUUAAAACACACUUUGGCCAUUUCCAUGAUUUUAUCUGCGUAUCCUGUGCAGGUUCCAUGAUUUUAUCGGGGAGUCAAUUUAAGUUAUUUUCCUGCCACUUUCUCAGCAGUUAUUCUCGUAGAGUCCUAUUUUGUGUUAAACGUUGGGUGCGUAUAAAGUAGUCAAAAGUAGGAUAUCCCGCUUUCUCCAUUGCUGUUCUGCAACAAUAUUUUGGUAGCCUUAUAGCACUCACUACUGGAGAAAUUGAGCUAAAGCAUAAAAUGUCAUGUACGCGGAUGCUUGACUUGCGGUGUGCCAUCUUGACUCUUAAACACCACCGAGCAGUAAUUUCAUGGUGAUUUCCUUAUUAAUACUGGUGGUCUUCCAGAAUCUUUAUCCAAACAACCCUUGCUAGACCGGGAUCGGGGUUGAUCAGGGAUAAGACUCGUGUCAUGACUUUUGAUGAGAUCACUAGGGCUCUGUUUGUUUGCAGGAAAGUGAAUUCCUUUUGGAAAGUGAAUUCCGGGGAAAGUGAAUUCCUGGAAAGUGAAUUCCGGGAAAGUAUUUUCCGAUGUUUGGUAGUGUUAUGGAAAAUGAACUGGAAAACACUUUCCAGUGUUUGGUUGUAUUAUGGAAAAUGAACUGGAAAAUAAUUUAUUAAUGAAUUAAUUUUUUUUUUAAAUUUAUCUAAUAUAUAUAUAAAAUAUCUAAUAUAAAAUAUUUAAUCACUUACAAUAAAAAAAAAUGAAAUCUAAAAUGUAUAAUGAUGAAUUUUUUUUAUUAUAUUCUAUAUUCAUACAUAGCUUAUUUUAUAAAAUAUAACUAUAUAUAUCAUAUCAUAUUAUAGAGAAAUAAGCUUGUGAAAUGUUUUUUACUAUUCCAUGAAACUAUUUAUAAUUCCAUUACGUACGAAAUAUAUCUGACAAAAAUUAUAGUUUUAAUAAUAUUUUUAGCAUGUAACAAAAUUGGAUAAAAUAUUAAGGUUUAAAAUUUACUCUAAACUAUUUUUUUUUAAUGUUAAAAAAAAUAGCACACUUAAAAAAAAAAAAAAAAGAAUCCUACAGGCAAGUGAACAGUGCAAGAGAACUGCACUGUUCACUAUUUUUCCAGUAAACAGUGUACGCAAUACACUGUUCAUGUUAAUUGCACUAUUCAUUGAACAGUGCAAUUAACAUGAACAGUUAAGAAAAAAUGGCUGCUUUUCACCGCUGGCCACUGUCGGAAAGUGUUUUCCUUUCUUUAACAAAAGAAAACACUUUCCUUUGGCAACACUGAUUUAUUUUCCAUUGACUGAAUUCAUUUUCCAUUGACUUUUUUUCUUGUUGUUGCCAAACACUGGAAAAGCAGGAAAGUGAAUUCCAGGAAUUCACUUUCCUGCAAUCAAACACGGCCUAGAUUAACUUUCAUUUUUUGCUAAUUUGGUUGAAGAAAGAAAUAUUUAGCCUGAUUUACUUCCAUAUUCAUUUUCUUUUUAAUACAUACAUGCUUGUAACAAGACAGGAUAAAAGCCAUGUAAACAAGGUAAUUAAAAAAUGUCUUCCGGCAAGUUUGUUUGUUUUUCCCCUUUAUUAUGAUAUAUAUACACGAAAGAAGAAAAUGCAUUGAUUAAAAUGCAUAGACCACCGUGUGGGCCAAUAAAAUGAAAACAAAAGACAAUAUCAAUGGUUUGCAAAAAAAGAAAAAAGAAAGUUUUCUGUUAAAUUUAUCUUUAUGUUAAUUACUUGAUUAACUAAACUUAAUCAUGUAAUAUUGAAUUAUUUGAUGAAAAACUUAUUUAAAACAGUAUUAAUUGACAUAUUUUAAAGUAAAAUAAAAAACAAACCCCGCUUACUUGCUUAUUUUUAAUGUGAAAAAUUAUUUUUUAACAUAAAUUCUUUAACAUAUUAACAUAAAAAAGUUCAAUAUAAUUAAAAUAAAUUGUGAUUAACAUGCUUUCUGAACCAAGCUUUUAUAUCUAAGAGACUAAUUCUCUCUUCCUCCAAACCACAAUGGCAAAUUGUGCCAUGAGCAGCCCUUUUGUCUUCUGGGCUGGAACAUCAGCCCAGCCCACGCGGAUGGGCUGAGUCCAGCCUUGUAGCUGGACCAAUACAGGCCCAGCCCACAUGAUUGGGUCGGGUCUGGCCCAGUUCAAUUUAAUGUUGGAACAUCAGCCCAGCCCAUGUGGGUGGGCUGAGUCCAGCCUUGUAGCUGGGUUAAUACAGGCCCAGCCCCCACAAUCAGCCCAGUUCAUUUCUUUUUUAAAAAAAAAAAAAAAAUUAUUUUCAAAGAAAUUGCAAUUUCCCCGUGUAUUUAUUUUACGUCAUUUUGAUUAAUAUUGGUCUGUAUUUUUAUAUCAUAAAGAUAUAAAUUCGGUAUUAAAAUAACCGGUUUUCAAAAAAAAAUAUUUUUGUUUUCAUACAUACGGCCUAGUUUCUCAAGGCUAAAAAUAAAUAAAAUCAUAUUGUAUCUUCAUACAACAAAGAAAACUUCAAUAUAUAUAUAUAUAUAUAUAUAUAUAUAUAUAUAUAUAUAUAUAUAUAUGUGAACAUGUGUUUUGGCUUUAAUAACCAGUUUAUUAAAGUUACGAGAACUCGGCCAAUAUUUCAAAAAAAUCAAAAAAUAUAUUUUGUUUUGUUUUAUUGUCUGGGAUUAUGAAUUUAUAUAUAAAACGUAUUCCUAAUAUUAAAAUGGUAGUUCUUUUAUAGACAUUAGAACAGUUAUGUUUUACCCCCAUAAGAUAAAAACCUCUUUACUGAGAAUGACUUUUCUUGAACCAUAGACGGACCAACAUGAUAAGACCUUAUAUUUUUUAUCAGACAGUGAAACAAUGCAACUUACCUCAGAUAGAGCGUAUUUGGGGUGUUAAUACCUUCUCUUUACGCAACCAGUCUCCGUAUCCAAUCUUUGAGACCAGUUAGGGUUUCUAGUGACUAGAAUACUAGGUGGCGACUCUCCUUCUAUUUUUUCACUGCUAAGACACAAAAAAUUCCUUGUCUCCCCAUUUUUGCUGGAAUAGAUACAAUUGCACCUAAUGAGGAGAAGUGGUGGGCGAUCAUCGCGACGCCGUACACAUGCAACACAUGUAAAACGGUUUCUAUAUAUAUAAAAGGAAGAAAGAAGAAAAUGCAUUAAAUAAAACAUGGAUAUCUUUGAAUGAAGAAAUUUAGGACACCGCUGACGUAUAUAGACAAAGUAUGCCAAGAACGAGGGGGGGCAAAAACAUUAUCAAUGGCUUGAAAGAACAAGACAAAAUAAAAUCAUUAGUUUUGAGCUUCAGAAGACAAUUUUAGCCAUUUAAUUUUGUCUUCAACUCGUUACAAAAAGCCUUGUCAUUUGAGAUUUCAUGCUUGUAAUGUUUCUGUUUUCAAUUAGUAUUACGCUUCCAUCUGUCAGAAUACUGUUGAACUUGACAAGAACUUUGAGCAAAUUCCAAUUUGAUUUUUGUAGCGAAUUAUAUCACUUAAUUGUUUGCUUAGGCUUAUUUUUAAUGUUCAAUGAAGUUUCACCAAUCAGUCAUCAAAUUCUGUAAAUGUUGCAGAUGAUUGCUAGGAAUAAAUCACAGUCAUUAAAUUUCUUCAUUUUGGUCCUUAAAUUUGUUUGCUAUGCUGUAGUUCUUUAUUUUUCGUGGAUAAAUUAUUUGGUACAGAGUUCUAAUUAAUAGCCAAAAAAGAAAAUAGCUCUGAAGAUAUCAGAACAACUGAAAAGAGAAGCAAAUAAUUGAUAAGGUGGGAGAAAAGAAUAGCAAAAUGCAUAGGCAAAUUUCUACAGUAUCAACUGACAAUGUGGAAGAAGAGAAUAUCAACCUGAUAGAUCAUAUAUGCGAGGCUUAUGUGGUUUACGAACACCUGAUUUGCAGAAGCUGGGGAUAAUGUUGAAACUCAAAUACACUCCUAUACAAUGAAAGGUUUUCUUGAAAACUAUCAUAAUUAAAGCAUAAAUUCAAUGAAAACUAAAUUUGCUGGAGGGGUUUCACAGAUUUUGACCAGAUUGAAUUUCACGAGGCGUCUAGCGUGAAUGAAUUAGGGUUUUCUUCUAGCCUUGAAAUUAUAGAGGAAUAGAGAAAAACAAAAACUCAUAUUUUUCUGAAAAGUCUAUAAUUCAAUAAUCUAAUCUUAAAACAAUACUUCAAUUGUUGAAAUAAAAGUUUUAAACCGAUCUAAUUAAAAGAAUUUAAGAUUAAGUGUGAAAAAUAUAAAAAAUACAAAAUUAUUUAGGAAAAUAAUUAAAAUAGCAAAAAUAGAAUCUUUUGACCUAACUUUGAAAAGAUCCUGUGGUGAUGGAGUCUAUAAAAUUAUCUAAUAAAAUUUAAGUAUAAUAUAAUAAUUAAAAUUAUAAUUAUAAUUAAAGCAUAAAAUGUCGUGUACGCCGAUGCUUGACUUGCGGUUUUCCAUUUUGAUUUUUAAAUACCAGAAAACGGUAAUUUCCUUAUAGAAACUGGUGGUCUCCUCGCGACCUUUUUUCUCAAAUAACUGUUGUUAGAGCAUGAUUGAAGUUAGGAUUUAACCCGUGUCAGAAACUUAAUGACUCUCCUCACUAACAGUAAUUUAUUAAAUAUUUUUAAUAUACUUAGUUCAUGUGAGGUUGUGUUUUCAAAAUCUUCCGAGAAAAAAGGACUAAAUGAUGACACACACGACAUUAAUGCAAAAAUAAAAGAUAGCACUACUGGCCAAAUUAAAUUUCACGAGAUGUAUAAAUUCAAACUAGGAUUUUCCAGCCUUUAAUACUCUAUGGAGAAAAAAACUCUAAUAUUUUUAUAAAAAGCUUAUAAUUUAAUAAUCCAAUCUUAAAACAAUAUUUCAAUUGUUGAUAUAAAAAAUUAAAACUGAUCUAAGAAAACUAAGUGGAAAAAAUAAUAAAAUAUAUUAUUUUCAGAAUAUAUUAACAAUUUAUUUCUUGAACAUGAAUACCAAGAAUAGACAGAGAGACACAGAGGAAUCAUUCACAUUUGCACUUGAAAGAAGCCAACUGUAUGCAAAGAGGGCCAAGAAGAACAAAUGAAUUAGUUUGCUGAAACAGACAAUACAAACAAAAGGAGAAGAAUGAGAAAUCAGAUGGGCAGUGUGAUGGUAUUUUCAGAACUAUGGUUGUGCCUUUUGGAAGAGAAUGUGCUUCUUCUCUGACCAUUGUGUACAAUUAUGGUCGUUGUUUCAUCAAAAUCAGAGGGCUGAUUCUGCCUUCUCCUUUACAGCUUCCAAAAGAAAAGGUGAGAAUGGGCUAUUCUUGCUUUUGAUAUUUGAAAUCAUAACAUGCUCCACUGAUUGACUUUUGGUGUAACAUUUUGAUCCUUAAACUUCACUUGGCCGUAAUUUCCUGAUGAUUUCUUUAUGGGAAACAGGUUGUCUUCUCGCAAUCCUUUUCCAAACAACCCCUGUUAGAGCAUCAUUAAAGUUUUGAUUUGUACCAUCAUCAAAAAAUGACUGUCAUCAUCAUCACAACGUACUUCCAUUUCAAUUAAUUCUUUAUAUUAUAACGCAGCAGAACAUAAAAUAAUGGGUGAAGAUAUUUUAGCUGAUAAUGGGUGAAGGGAUAUUUUUUUUCUAAUUGAAAACGACUUGUCAGCUUUAGAAAAUGCAUGCAGGGCCCAGUUUAAUUUCAAUUUCUCAUACUCUCGUUAAUGCAAGUUUGGACAGCUUGGGGAUGUGUCGUCCAUCCGGUUUCCUUUUUUGAUCGGGAGUCAAUGGGAUUAGUAAUUGACACUUCAUCAUCAAAUCAAAAUUAAAAAUGUUAAUGAACUCACAAUUAAUUGCCAUUAAGCUCCAUUGAGUGUAAACAAUGAAUUUAUAAAAUAGUCAAAAGUGGGAUGUCGUGAUUUCAACAAUGCCGUUUCAGAAAAUUGAUAGUCAUGAUGAAAAGAAGAAGACAGAAUUGUUGAGUUGAAACGUGAACGUCGUGUUCUCCUGAUCAAUUGUAUAGUGAAGAUGGUGGAACUGAUGCGGGUGCAUAGCACCAACCAUUACUUCCCUAAUGAUUUCCUUGCGGAAGAAAUUAUUACAUUUUUAAAGUUAAAAGUGCUAAAGCACAAUUCAAAGAAAAUAAGCAGUACUAAACUUAACAAGCUAGUUCAAUGGAGGAGAAUGGUGUGCUGAAACACUAUGAUUUUCAAAAAAAUUGAAGCAUAUCAGAUCCAUGCUGCUGCAUUCGCAAGAAACGAGCACCCAUCAACAAUGUGCUAAAUGUCAAUGCAGAGCUUUAAAUCAUCUACAGAGGCUCAUGAAGAAAAUAGGCAUAAAUGAUAACAGAUAACACACCAGAGCACUCUACGUAAACUGAUAUCUUUAGAAAAUUCAAAGGCAUGAAUGAAAAAGAAAAGCUAGAAAUAUCUAAGUCAGCUCUUAAUUUGUAACAGUCCACAACUUCAUGUUUGGUGUGUACUGUAAACUAUGCUCUCCACAUAAUCAUGAGCUUCAUCUGCAAAAAACCAUUUUCACUUCUUGGGACAAGGGAUCAAAAAAAUACAAACCUGUUGUUGGAUUACAUUCAUAAUUUAUAUCAAGCACUAGAUGCUGCUCGAAGGAAGUCCUUCAAGGAAAAAAAUCAGGAACAAAAAUGCUGAGAGGUCCAUCUUGGAGGUCAGAAAGCUGGAGUUCUACUAGAAGAAGAUACCUCUGGAGAGAGAAAUAAAGGAAGCCUGAACUGCUUAGAGUUUUCUUACCGAAGCUUCAAGUUAAGAUCAUUUUCAUUUCAAUUUGGAUGUAGAAAUAAUGAUGGGAUGUGAAAAUUAUAUUUUCAUUUCAGAGAGCUGGUUGAUUAUAUUUUGAAAAAGGGUAUAUAUGAAAGUUAAAUCCUCUGUUCAAAUGAACAAAGGGAUCAACUUGAGCAAGAGUCAACAAGCUAUCCUUCGAGGUCAAUGGAACAUACCACUCAUAUUAAUCUUCUACUAUUUAGGGGAAUUCAUACAUCCACUCAUCUUAAGCUGGAAAACUUAUGGAAAGCAUUCGCAAUUGUUUCCAAUGUAUCGACUGUAAUCAAUCAAUAGAUCAUCAACUAUUGUCCUCAUUGAAAGUUUCCUGCUCCCUAUAUAGAGAAUGUCUGAUUAAUUUCAUUAAAUAUGCAUGAUUCCACUGUAUGUUAGCUAACCAAAAGAGCCUACAGGCCAAAUAAACAACAGGAAUAAGAGAAACUACUUCCAACGCCAUCAUUUCUCCUUUCUAGUAUCAUCUUUUGUUUAAUGUUUAAUGCUCGUAGCCUCUGAGCACUCCAAACUAAUUUUUAAAAUAAAAUAUCAAGAGAUGGCAGAAAAUGAAUGUGCUCAUCAACUAUUUUCCUCAUUGAAAGUAUACUGUGGUAUUUUAAAUUGCUCCAGUUUUUAAAAAAUAGAAGGCCACAGGCCAAAGAAACAACAGGGAUAAGAGAAACCGUUUUUUAUUUGAGAAAAUACGAUACUGCAAACUAUUUCUUAUGAAUAAAUCCCGUAUUACAAGAAGCCAAGAAUUGGUUGGUUGCUCAGCACAACAUAACUCAACAUAACUGAUACAAACAAUUACUGAUACAAGCACAAGGACAAACACAAGUCACAUCAAAAUAGAAAGGCUAAGCAACAAGAACACUUCUCACAGGCAAAUUGCUAAACAUGCAGUGAGCAACCAUUGAUUUGGAAUGCGACUGCUUCUCCACAGAGGAUUGCAACAAAUUCAGAAAGCAGCCCACACGCUCCUGAUAAGAUCCAAUCACCUUCUGAAUCUGGACAACUUGGGAAAGUUAAUUGCCAAAAAGCAGCAGCAAGUGUCAAUGCAUUCUUCAAUGAAGUAAAACCACCUGCGACGCCAAUGCGGAUUUAUGCACAGUACUGCUGCAAUUGUCAACACCACAGUUAUGUAAAACACACCAAAGCUGGCAUAGAAACUGUCCAUGUCUAUGAAGCCACCAUCUCCAUUGAAAUCAUUAGGCACUCUCGCGGAUGGUGAUUCUGUUUUGUCGCAACUAUUUUGCAAUGGAGGUCCACAAAGAAGAGGAUUCCCUUUAUAACUGCUUUCAUCAAAGGUACCAAAUUGAUUUUUCAUCUCCGGUGUUCUUCCUGACAAAUUAUUGUACGACACGUUAAAAACUGCUAGAAAGGUCAGUUCAACGAGUUGUGCAGGAAUUCUCCCAUUCAAAUUGUUGUGAGAAAGAUCCAAGCUCUCUAGCUGCUUCAGAUUGAAGAAGGAUGAAGGGAUCAAUCCAGUGAGAUUAUUUUGUGACAGAUUUAGAGAAUGUAUCCCACUUAAGUUUCCCCAUUCUAUCGGGAUUUCUCCAGUGAAUCUGUUACAAGAAAGAUCCAAAGCAGACAUGUAACGAAGGAUUUCGCCUUCAUAAGUGUAGAAGUUUUUCUUUGUUGUAAGCUCUACAGUUAUUUUUACACUGAUCUCUGGCCACAAAAUUUUAUCAUGAAGAUAACCUUCGUUCUCCAAUUCUCUCCCCCAUGUGGAUGCAAAUAUUUCUUCAUCUAGUGAGUACUUCACACUAGUGUCAAGCACAGUUAUUUCUUCAUCUUGUGACUCCAUACUAGUGUCAACCAAAGUUUCUUCAUCUAAUGCCAUAAAAUUUAAAUUGCUCAAACAUGAGGGUAACGGACCAGAAAAGUUAUUUUCUGAAAGAUCCAAUAUGUUUAAUUUCCUUAACAAGCAUAACUGAUGAGGUAGUUUCCCAUUGAAUUGAUUAGAUUUGAGAACAAAAAUGCUCAAUUCCGAAAGGCUAUAAAUCCAAUUUGGAAUGGGCCCAGUUAAGUUGUUAUCGCCGAGAUCUAAUGUCACCAACGAAGAGAGAUUACAAAAAGCAUAUGGCAGUGGACCGCUCAAUUGAUUUCUAUAAAGGUGGACAUAGUGUAAAUCUGAUGCAAGGAAGCCCAACGACAAAGACAAAGACCCAGACAGAUUGUUUUCAGAAAGAUCUAAAAAUUCAAGCCCAGAAGAAUUGAAAUAUUCUAUUGGAAUGGUACCUUCAAAAUGAUUUCUGGACAAAUCAAUUCCAUCAAGUUCGUUUAGUGAAGAGUUCCCAAUUCCCCUUGGAAGCAUGCCUGACAAAAGAUUGUUACUGAUAACAAACCACGAAAAUGAUGAUGCAAGAGAAAAGGUAUCAGAUACUUGUCCUGCAAAUUUGUUUCCAUCUAGAAAGAGGUAAAGUAGAUCAGUCAUGUUGAACACAGAUGGUGGUAAUCGCCCAUUGAAGUUGUUGUUGGACAACUUCAAAAACCACAACGAGGAGCCUACUGUUGGCAAAUUAUGCUCAAGCAGUUCACAAGACAUAUGAUUGUUGGAAAGAUCCAAGUAUCCGAGAGAGCUCAUAUUCCCAAAACAAGGAGGAAUGCAACCUGUGAGGCUAUUGUUAGCCAUCAAGAAGUUCUUUAACCGUGGAAAAAUUGAACAUAUGUUCCUUGCAAUUUGACCAUGUAUGGUGUUGCCAGACAUAUCUAUUGUAUGAAGAUUGGGUGUUGGAUGUUGUGGCAGCUGCAAAGGACCUAUAAAUGAGGUGUCUCUCAAAUAUAGUCGAUUUAACUUUGUAUUAUUCUCAAACAGCCAAGACGGGAAAGGUUCUCCAAUGAAUUUGUUGUGGGAUAGAUCAACAAACACCAAAUCAUGUUGGCUAUGCAGGAAGUUUGGAAAUCUAGCUUUGAGUGGUUUUGAAGUACAGUUUGCAGCACUGAAGUAAAGAAGCUGUAACUUGGGAGCUGAAGGCUGAAAACUGGGUGCAGCUAUUAGCUCAUUGUUAUCGCAUACAAUGAACUUGAGGUUGGAGAGGUUCAUAAAUGAACCAAAUGAUAUUGGAACUUGAAAGUAGUUAUUUGAAACUUUGAGGUAUCUGAGCUGCGUAAGAUGGGAAAGGUGACUAGAGGCAAUAUUCCCCUUCAAUUGGUUGUCAGAUAAAUCCAAGAUUUGUAGAGAUGAUAGAUUUCCCAAACAAUGAGGGAGUGAGCCCUUUAGAUUGUUUCCUGAGAUAAGUAGUUGUUCAAGAUUCUUCAGAUUCUUCAGUUCACACCAGCCUGUAGAAUAUAUUAAUAUAUUCAUGUUAAGGGAAUAAUAAUAUAUCAAUUAUGCAAGUGCUUAGUGAGGUUUUAAAGUUUUAGUUGAUUUUUGUUUCAAUAGCUAGGUCAGUUCUAGAUUAUAUUUAAACAACUUUGUUUGUUAGUUUUUUUAGAGAUUAAUUAUCUAGAUUAUUGAUAUUCAAAAUUUUUUUAAUUCAAAUUUUUUUCUAUAAUUUAAGACUGGGAAGUUUUAGAGAUUAAGAAACUCUAGAUUUUUGGUCAAGAAGGAUAGAGUGGAAGUAUCCAUUUUGUGUAUUGUAAUAUAAUCAUCUGUUAAAUAGAAGGAAAACAGAGAAAUAAAUGAGAGGAGAAUGAUUUUGUUAUUUCUUGUGUGCGUAAUCCUCCUACCAUUAUAUAUAUACUUCCCCACAUGCAUUACACGAUUUAUUAUAUUGUUAACUAACUCUACCCGACUCUUAACAACUUCUAACACGUGUCCAUGCAUCUGCUAGUUACCCUAAAUUUAAGACUGAGAAAUUUUAGAUUGAGAAACUCUAGAUUUUAUCCUUUUCUAUAUGUAACAUUAGGAGUAAACUUCUAACAUAUCACCUCCAUUCCUUUAAUAAAAUUUUAAAAAUUGAACAAAAGUUAAUGGUUAAUACACAUCUAUUUAUUAGACAAGUUCACUAAAAAAUAAAUUAAGCCUCACUAAGGAAUGCCAUUCAAGAUAGGAAUGAUUUACAACUUUAUCAUUAAUACUAGUUGAUCCUGUCAACAUGUUUUUGAUAAAUAUAGAGAUUUGAGAGUUGAAAACCCACUUAAAGAUGAUAAAACACUGUCAUUAAAUUUACUGUAACUCAGAUCAAGUUCUUUCAAAUUCCUCAACCCUCAAGCUAAUACUUGAAAACAUGAAAGAAAAUUAUGGGAAACAAAGAAAUUAACAGAUAUAUACAGAUUUAUAUAUCAAUCAUCCCAAUAUCCAUAAAGAUUCAAUGUAAAGUUACUUGAAAUAUAAUUAACUUUAUGUGUUAACUAAAAGAAAAUUGAAAGCAUAGAACCUUGGUUCUUGAAGCCACCAACUAAUUGGUUGAAGCUUAAGUCGAGAAUCUCCAGUUCUUUGAAAGGCAGAAACAAAGACGCAUUGAGAUACAAGUACUCUUCGACUGCAUUGAGACCCAAGUCCUCAUAAUUUACACCUGAAAGAUGUAGUUCGAUCACUCGGUUUGUGGUGUUGUCACACACAACCCUAUGCGGAUCCCAGUCACAGCAAUUAAAAUACUCUUUAUCCCAACCUUCUAGCUGAUCAUAGGACCCAGCUGCACGUGCAUGAUUGAACCAAGCUUUUAUCUCUAAGAGACUAACUCUCUCUUCCUCCACACAACAAUGGCUCCGGUCGUUGACGAAGGACAGUGCCAUGAGGAGCAUCCACACCCACAUUUCCCUCAUCUUCAUAACGCUCCACUUGACCACAUACAAAAGCAAGCAAGCAAGCUGUCUCUUAUAUACAAUUUAAUUUGUCCUCUUCAUGCGUUUGAUCAUAGGAUUUUCCCGUGAUAAACUUUUAGACUUUGGUGGUCUCCUCACGAUCUUUUUUCAGAGAAAUCUGCUUCUCAUUUGUAGUUUGCCAUCUUCCUACUGUCGCACUAGCUUUAAUGAUAUGUCCACUUGAUUAUUAUAAAAGAAAAAUAAAAAUACUCCACGUCCACUAUUGUCAGCUUUCGAGAACGCAUGCAGGACCCAGUUUAAUCUCAAUAUGGAUUUUUAUAAGCAAAUCUUAGAGAAACAGUUUCCUGCAUAAUUACUAGAAUUUUUUGGUUUGAUUUAAUUUGAUAUUAAUGAUUUUUCACCUUUUGUCUGAGAUCAAGUACCUAAUGAAACCUUGAAUGGAGCACCCAUUUGUACGCAUAUGCUUGACUUGAGGUCUGCCAUUUUGAUUUUAAAAUACCAUCAAGCAGUAAUUUCUUGGCGGUUUCCUUAUAGAAACUGGUGGUCUCCUCACGACCUUUUAAUUUAAAAAAAAACUCUUGUCGGAGCAUGAUUUAAAAGCUAGGAUUCAACCAGUAUCAGGGAAUGACUGUCAUCUUUUAAAGAAAUUUGAUCACCCACUUUCACUUGUUUUUCGUUGUGGACCUCCGUUGCGAAGUUGCAGUGAAACAAACUCGCAAUUGCAGCAGGUGCCUAAUAAUGAACAAGAAGAUAAUGGUUUCAUAGAUAAUAUUGGGGGAGCAAAUGAGCAAUUAUAAUAUUGGGGGGGAGCAAUUAUAUUGGGGGAGGGCCGGACCAAUUAUAUUGGGGGCCUUUAAAUUGAAAUCGUAAAAUCGGUCCUAAUAUCGUGAUUUUGCGCGAUAUCAUCCGUUUUUUGCGAUUUUACCUGAUUUCAACCUGAUUUUAUCCAUUUUCGAUUUUUUUAACCGAUUCAACUCGUAAUGCAUGUUUUGACUCGUAAAAUCGUACGAUUUUACGAGUCACGCGAUUUUGACAACCUUGGUGACGAUGGUGGAACUGAUGCGGUUGCAUAGCAGCACCAACCAGUACUUUAAUUUCCUAAUGAUUUCCUUGCGGAAGAAAUUAUGGCAUGUUGGAAAACGAUGCCACCCUAACAAUCCAAGAGCUCAAAUUCAACUUGAAUAAAAGCAUGAUAAAUGGAUAAUUUAGAGGAGAAAGGAUCCAAGAACAUCAUGAAACAGGGGAUUGUUAUAUUUUGUUACCCUAACAAUCCAAGAGCUCAAAUUCAACUUGAAUAAAAGCAUGAUAAUUUAGUGGAGAAAGGACCAAGAACAUCAUGAAACAGGGGAUUGUUCUAUUUUGUUAUGUAACAAUCUCAACAGCUAAUUAAGAGGUUAGAUUGUAGGGUCUAAUUUCAAAUGCAAGACUCUAUUGAUUCUCAUCAUUAUAGUAAUAAAACCAUGUGCAUUUUUAUUAAAUUAAGAGGAAACACAAAAUUAAACAAGAAAAUCUUCAGAGUUCAGAAAUAAAUCUAACAUUGCCGAACAGACUGUGAGCAAACCCAGAUUUGGUGGAAGAUAGAAAUAUGAAGAGAGAGCAGAAAUCUUAGAUAAUUCUAUGAAGAGAGAGCAGAAAUCUUAGAUAACAGUUUGUAGAAUAUUGUUGUUUGUUAUGUGAGUUUGGGCAACCAUAGGUCCUAUUUAUAACACGCUUUGUCCAUUUCCAUGACUUUUAUCUGCGUACCUGGUGCCGAUUCUAUGUUUUGAGAUGUUUUCUUUAUUUCAUUUCUUUUUUUAAUAGUUUUGGAUUCGAAUAUUAUUUCAUUUAUUUGUUUAGCCUUAGGUGUAUUUGGGAAUGUGUUUUUCGUUGUUUUUCAAAGUAGUUUUCACUUGGAAAUGUAUCAACAUGAUAUUGUUUGGCCUUAGGGUAUGUUUAGUAGUGUGGUUAGAUGUCUUAAUACGAACCUUGAAAACAUGGUCAAAACAAUAUUUUAUAAAAAUUUGAUUUUUUAUUAAAAUUAUUUUUUAUAUAUUUUUAGUUAGUUAUAAUGUAUUAAUAUCAAAAAUAAAUUUUAGAAAAUAAAAAAUAUAUUAUUUUGAUAUAUAUUCGAGCAAAAAUAUAUUUUAAAAAACAACCCUUAUUACAAUAAUGGUGAUUUCCUUAUGCAUACUAGCGGUCUUCAUUAAUAUUUCAAAAAAUCAUCAUUAAACCUGGUUUGGGGUUGACUAGGAAUAAGGCUGGGGUCAUGAUUUUUUUUAUUAGGUCACUAGAUUAACUUAGAUCAACUCCAAUAUAUAUAUAUAUAUAUAUAUUCAAGUCAAGCUAAGCAUUAACCGAGUCACUUAGAUUUUUCCCUUUUUCAAUUUUUUUAAACUUGUCCCGGUUUUGAUCCUCAAUCAAAUGGGUUUCAUCUUGAUUUAUCUAUAUGUUAAAUUACUUGAUUAACUAAAUUAAUUCUGUAAUAUUGAAUUAUUUGAUGAAAACAUUAUCUAAAACAUGAUUAAUCUUACUUUUAAUAUUAAAAAUUAUGUUUCAACAUAAACUCUUUAAUGUAAAAAUUUAACAUAAUUAAAAUAAAUAGUGAUUACCGUUUCAGCAAUUGAUUUGAUCUUGGCCUUACAAUUAUUUUCAUUAGUCUGUUAAUGUUUUUCUUCAAGCUUAUGGAAAGGGAGGUUUCUCCAACUUGUUGUGUAAGCUCCUUUGCUUUUUGUUUUUCAUAGACUUGGGAAGUCAUUUGUCUCUUAUAACACAAUAAUUGAUGUGUGAAACAACAUCGUUUUAUAUGGAAAAAAAAUAAAGAGUUAACCGAGUAUUUAUUCAAGUCAUGCCAAUCAUUAACCGAGUCAUUUGGAUUUUUUUUCCUUUUUUAUUUUGUAAACUCGACCUUGUUUUGGGCUCCGUUUGUUUGCAGGAAAGUGGUUUCCUUUUGGAAAGUGAAUUCCGGGGAAAGUGAAUUUCUGAAAAGUGAAUUCCGGGAAAGUAUUUUCCGAUGUUUGGUAGUGUUAUGGAAAAUGAACUGGAAAAUAAUUUAUUAAUGAAUUAAAUUUUUUUUCAAGUUUAUCUAAUAUAUAUAAAAUAUUUAAUCACUUACAAUUGUCAUAACCCAAUUUUUGACCCUUUUUUAUUUUUAUUAUUUUAAAAAAAAAGAUGAUGAAAAAUAAAAAUAAAAUAAAUGAAGAAUGAAUUAAAAUUUGGGUUAAGGGCAACAUGAUUGGAAGUUUAAAGAUUUAAUUAAACUCUUGACUAGUUUAAUUAAUUAAAUCAAGGUUUUAAUUGGAGAAUUGAUUUAAUUAAAAUUUAGAUUAUUUUAAUUAAUGAAAUCAAGAGUUUAAUUGAAGAAUUAAUGAGUUUGAGGACUUAAUUAUACUUUGAUUUAAUCAAAAAUCCAGGACUGUUGUGUAAAUGGCGCUAUAACUCAAGGAUUCAAUUGAAUUUAAUCCAAGGGCACAAUUAGAAAUCAAUUAUUUCUGAUUAGGGUCCCAAUUGUUAAGUUUACACUGUCUAGGGACUAAAUUGAAAAACAGCCAUGCCCAAGGACACAACGGCGCCGUUUUGGAAGCAUUGUUCAUCGUCUCCUACGCUUGCGCGGAUGAAGCCUUGUUCAACAGGGAAAUCUGCUGCAACAAAUCCGGUCAUGGACCAUAUCUCUUGCCCACGAUCUCGUUCGUGGAUUCCAUAACAGUCCUGCAAAUGUAGGACUGGUUGAGGGGAAGCUUCUCUAUAAAAGGGGGGACGCAAGCACACCAGGAAAAAAAACCCAUCAUAAACAGAAGAAAAACUCGGGGAAGAGGCCAGCAACCAAAAACCAGGAACGAGUGACCGAAGACCAGAACGAAACAGAGGCAGAAGACGCAAGAGGAGGAAGAACAACAGGUGACGAACAGAGAGGAGAGGAAUUAAAGGGAGCCGAAAAUCAAAGAAAAAACCCAGAAUAACAGAGAAGCAAACGAAACAGAACCAGAAGAGUAGAGGAAAAGCAGAAACAUAAAGCCUGCCAAUCAUCGUCUUCACCACAGCACCUGAACCAGCAAAACAGAGGAAGAAGGGCAGGGGAAACAGGCCAAGAACCAUAAAAAAUGGAGGACGAACAGUGACAAUAAAAAAAAGAACCACCCGAGAGAACCGGCUUCGUCUUCAUCUUCAGGAGCAGCAGACCACAUGUAAUCUUCCCUUUGCAUUUUAAUUCACUGCUACAAUAGCAGUGAAUUAUAAUUCACUUGCUACUGUAGCAAGUAAAUAAUAAUUCAUUGGCCCAGCUGUAUUCUCAUUGAACAGCUGAGGGUAUGUAGAAAAAAGGAAAGUGUUUUUUUUUCUUUACAUAAGAAAAACAUUUCCCUUUAGCAACGUUAUUAUUUUUAGGUUGACUGGAAUUCAUUUUUCUUUGAUUAUUUUCCCUUUCUUGUCAUCAAACAUAGAAAAAGCAGGAAAGUAAAUUCCAAGAAUUCACUUUACUGCAAUCAAACACGGCCUUGAUCCUCAAUCAAACGGGUCUCAUCUCGAUUUUAUAAAAACUAUCCAAUGAUGUUGAUUCGAGGAUGUUCACAAGCUUUUCGCUGUUGGAAGUUUGCAAGCGAAUCUCGUUUUUACCAUCCAAAAAAACUUCUUUUGUACAUCUUCUCACAUGUCAAGGCACAUUUUGAUUAGGGAGACCGUAUAACUUUAUUUCGUUCAAUUUAUGCUGUUUGACAUAUAAAUAUUGUUCAAUGUAAAUCAACUUUUCAUUGUUUUCAAAAAAAUUUCACCUAGUUUAAAUCGAAACAAAUGCUUGCCAGUAGUUAAUAUUAAUUGAGAUAUGUGUUUGGGAGUGUGAAGUGAAGUGAUUAUAUUUUAUUUAAAAAUAAAAAUAAAAUUUUUUUGACACGCAACCGCCGCGAUUAAGUAAAAAAAAAAAAUAGCGCGAAAAGUGCCAAAGGCCCAAAUGUACGCCAAUUUGCAAUGGCAAGUCCCGUAAUUAUUUCAAAAUCAAAUGUGAAAAAUUGAAAGUCACAAGAAGGCAUGAAAAUAUCCUCUUAUUUGAACUUUUAUCUCGUUUAUAUCCUUUUACUCUUUUCUUCAUGUAUAGACAUGGAAAGUCAUGUUCUGAUUUGUUCCUGUGGAAUCAAAAAAUUUCUUCCUCAAUUUUUUUUAUGGAAUGAAGUGAUUUCCCGGUAGCUUCACCAUCCACUUGCAAUUUAUAUAUAUAUAUAUAUAUAUAUAUAUAUAUAUAACUGCCAAAGAAAAAAAUGCAUUGAUUAAAAUAUUGAUGUGUUUGAAUGAAGAAAGUCAGGGCAGAGAUGACCAACAAAAACCACCGUGUGGGCCAAUAAAAUGAAAAUAAAAGACAAUAUCAAUGGCUUGCAAUAAAACAGUGUUUGUUUUAUGUUAAAUUACUUGAUUAACUAAACUUAAUCUUGUAAUAUUGAAUUAUUUGAUGAAAACAUUAUCUAAAACAUGAUCAAUUGAUAUAUCUAAAGUCAAAUAAAAAGUUUAUACUAUACUUUGCCAUUUUCAUGAUUUUAUCUGCAUAUAUUGUUCAGUUUCCAUGAUUUUAUCUGGGAGGAGUCAAUUUAAGUUAUUUGCAUGCCACUUUCUCAGCAAUUGUUGUCCUAUUUUGUGCUAAAUGUCGGGUGUAUAUUAAAUUAGUCAAAAGUUGCAUAACCCGCUUUCUCCAUUACUGUUCUGUAACAAUAUUUUGAUAGCCCUUUAGCAUUAAUACUAUUUAAUUUGUCCUCUUCAUGCGUUUGAUCGGACAGUGACAAUUAUCUGUAUCAUUGAAUUUUCUAUGCUGAAUUAAUUAUCCAAGGGAGACUUGGGCUUCAUUGAAUGGGAGAAUCUUCACGGACAGUGCUAGCCAGGGGACCGCACCACGGCACAGAUCACUCGGUUUGUGGUGUUGGAUUAGGGUGUUUGGGAGUGUGGUAGCGGUUGCUUUUCAAAUAGCUUUUCGUGCCGAAAAGCAUGCCAAUAAUGUUUUUUUAUUUUUUAAAAAUCAUUUUUGACAUCAGCACAUCAAAACGAUCCAAAAAGUACAAACCGCACUCAAUUUUAACAAAAAUAAAUAAAUAAAAAAUUUUUGAAUUUUUUCAAAAAACCGGUUUGGCCGCAUUGCCAAACAAACCGGUUUGUGGUGUUGGAUUAAAGGAUAUUCCAACUUCUUGUUUACUGCUUUACUUUUCUUCAUAGACUUGGGAAGUCAAGAUUCCUAUAAUCCACAUCAUCAAAAUAAAUUUUAAUUAUUUGAGCGAUUCAUUUGAUAUUAACCCCACAAUUAUUUUAAUUAGUCUGUUAAUGUUUUUCUUCAAGCUUGUGGAGCCGCAUGUUCACCAACUAUUUUGUUUUUUUUUUCUUUGUAUAUUUAAAAAGUCAUUUAAUUUAAGUUUUUAUGGUAAUUUAUUUUUGUGUUUUAAAAGUAUUUUUAAAUAAAUUUAAUUUUUUUUAUUUUUUAUUAACUUCAAAUUAAUAUAGUUUUAGUAUUUUUAAAUUAUUUUGAUGUGCUGAUAUUAAAAAUAAUUUUUAAAAAAUAAAAAAAUAUUAUUAAUAUAUAUUUUAAUAUAAAAAAUUAUUUAAAAAACAACCACAAUUAGAUGUUGUAGUGCUUGUUUUUAUUCUUCGUAGACCUAUGAAGUCAAAAUUCCCAAUUAUCCACUGCAUCAAUCUCUAUCCCAUUAAAAUGAAUUUGGUGCAAGAAAAUGAAUUUUAAUAUUAUUAAUAUAUAUUUUUUAAAAAAUAUAGCGUAUAAAAAAGGAAAUCCUGUAUCAUAUCUUUCACAAAUCUUAAAUAAUUAAUGAGAAAGCAGAACAAGGAUAAAACAACAUUGUUUUUUAUAUAUAAAAAAUAAAUAAUUAAUAGAUUGCAAUUAGGUAUUUAUUCAAGUCAGGCCAACUAUUAACCGAGUCACUUGGAUUUCUCAUUAUGCAUAUUUAAGAUUGCUAAAAAAAAAAAAUUAGUUUAAUUUCACAUAUAAGCUAAUUCGAUAACACUUUUUAAUAUAAAACCAAAAAAAAUGAGUGCUAUCGUCAUCAACUUUAUUUGGUUUAAAUUUAUGACGUUUGACAUAUAAAUUCUAUUCAAUUUAAAUCAACUUUUCAAUAAAUAGUUAAUGUUAAUGAGCACAGUAGCGAGAACUAAGCAGUGUUAUGUGUAUUUGGGACUGUGAAUACUGUACACUUUGGCUCUCUUCAUAGAGUCAAUUGACUUUCACACGUAGGGCAUGUUUGUUUCCCGAAAAACAGUUUUCGGGAAACCAUUUUCCAAACUUUCCUGUGUUUGUUUGUUAUUAGGAAAGUUGGUCAACGGAAAAUACAUUUCGGUCAACGGAAAACACUUUAUAGUCAACGGAAAACACUUUCCAGUCAAAGAAAAAUUUGACUUGGUUUUCAGGAAAGUGUUUUCCCUUUAGCUGUGUUUGUUUUCCGGAAAGUGGUUUCCGGAAAAUCACUUUCCAAUCCGGUCAACGGAAAACACUUUCCAGUCAAAGAAAAAUUUGACUUGGUUUUCAGGAAAGUGUUUUCCCUUUAGUUGUGUUUGUUUUUCGGAAAGUGAUUUCCGGGAAAUCACUUUCCAAACUUUCUUUUGUUUGUUUGCUAGUAGGAAAGUUGUUCAAUGGAAAACACUUUCCAGUAAAAUGAAAGUUUGGCUUGGUUUUCAGGAAAGUUUUUUCCUGAAAAAUUUGAGGGGAAAACACUUUCCGGAAGUUGUGAAAAAUUUAGAAAUAUCAUUAUUUGUUGAUUAUAUCAAAUUUGAUCCUCAAACUUUUGAUUGCUAUAUAUAUAUAUAUAUAUAUAUAUAUUGAGUAUUUAUUUUUCAAUUUCAUCUCUUAAAAUUUUAUUUUUAUAUUAACUUUGGUCUUUAUUUUUAUAUUUGCUUUUUGCUUUUUCCUUAUCAUUUUUUUAUUGAAAUUUUGUAUCUAUCAAAUUUGGUCUUCAUUCUUUUGAUUGUUACUUAUUUUAUUUGAAACAAUUUAUAAAAUGUUGAUUAUUAUUAUUUUAAUUUCUUCAUCUUUUUUUUAAUUUUUUAGAUUUGAUCUCUAUUAUUUUGAUUAUUAUUUAUUUUAUUUGAGAUAAUUUAUGAAAUUAUUUUUUUUUUUCAAUUUCAUUCUCAUUCAACUUUUUAAUUUAUAAGAUUUGUUUCUCAUUAUUUUAAUACACUUGAGAAAAAUAAAAUAUUAAUAAGUUAUUUUCCAGCUCAUUUUCCAUGACAUAACCAAACACUGGAAAGUGUUUUCCAACUCAUUUUCCAUUACACUACCAAACAUCGGAAAAUACUUUCUCGGAAUUCACUUUCCUCAGAAUUCACUUUCCAAAAGGAAACUACUUUCCAGCAAACAAACGGAGCCGUAGUAAAAAUGAAAAACAAAUUACUCCGUGGAUUGGUGAUUAAACUACAAUACUAAAUAUACCCCCUGAUCUGUGGAUUUGUGAUUAAACUUGGAAAAAAACAACAAUACUCUAAAAAGCCAUAUGUGAAUUUGUGAUGAAGAAAAUUCAUUAUUUUUAUUUUUUUUUGACAUAUUAGGUUCCACUAGAUGCACCAAGUCAAUGUGAGUGGUUGUCUUUUUUCUUAUUUAUGAGAAUCCAAUAGAGGCAUCAAGUCUAGGGCUCCACAAUGUCUGCCACUAGUCAAUUUCCUCCAACUUGUUGUGUAAAUUACUUUGUUUUCUCUUCAUAUAUAGACAUGGAAAGUCACGUGAUCUAAUGGAAUACAAAAAUUUCUUCCUCAACUCUUUUCAUGGAAUGAAGUGAUUUCCCGGUAGCUUCAUCAUCCACUUGCACUUUUUUUUCUCCGUAGACUUGUGAAGUCGGUCAAGAUUCCCAAUAUAUUAUCAACAUCAUCAAUUUAAAAAAGAAAUAUAUGUUAGGCUGAUUUACUUUCAUAUUAAUUAUUGUUUGAAUAUUCUUCAUCUGAAUGAUAUUAGUCCAUUCAAAACAAAUUCAUUUUCUUUUUUAUAAAUAUAUUUAUAUAACUACCAAAGAAGAAAAUGCAUUGAUUAAAAUAUUAUUGAUGUGUUUGAAUGAAGAAAGUUAGGGCAGCGAUGACCAACAUAAACACCGUGUGAGCCAAUAAAAUUGAAAACAAAAGACAAUAUCAAUGGAUUGCAAAAAAAAAAAAGUUUUAUGUUAAAUUUAUCUAUAUGUUAAAUUACUUGAUUAACUAAACUUAAUCAUUUAAUAUUGAAUUACUUGAUGAAAACAUUACCUAAAAUAUAAUUAAUUGACAUAUUUAAAGUCAAAUAAAAAACAAACCCCGCUUAUUUUUAAUAUUAAAUAUUAUUUUUUAAUAUAAAUUCUUCAACAUGAAAAAUUAACAAAAUUUAAAUAAAUUGUGAUUACUGUUUGAGCGAUUGAUUUGAUCUUGGACCCAUAAUUAUUUUCGUUAGUCUGUUAAUGUUUUUCUUCAAGCUUGUGAAAUUGUUACCCAUGUAAAUGCUAUGUUUCUCUUUAGAUUUUUUCCUACCCUUGAAACUGUUAUGAACAUAAGUAAAAGAGAUGAAAACUCCUUUACCCACGUAUCGAGUGUCGCACGUGUACGACAGCGCGACGAAUCGUCCACCCUCAAAUGAAAAAAAAUCGGAAUAUUUAUUCCUGGAAAAUAGUCAGAGACAAGGAAUUCUUGUCUCUACAAGUAAAAAUAUGGACUGGGAGACUGGUUACUAGGAACUUUAACUGGUCUUUAGAGAUCGGGUACGGAGACUGGUUACGUAAAAGAAAGGUAUAAGCACCCCAAUUACACCCUACCUAAGGUAGGCUGCAUUGUUUUAAUGUCUGAUAACAUCUAAGGUCGUGUUUGUGGAUUUUAAUAUUAUUGUUCGGAAUACGCAUUACAUGUAAUGUCAUAUCCCAAGUUCUAUUAAAAAAAAAUUAAAUAUCCGGAAUAUGUAUUGUGUAUAAUGUAUAAUGUCAUACCCCGGAUAUUAAAAGAUAAACAAAAUAAAAUUUUUGUUGUUUUUUUGAAAUUUUGGCCAAUAUUCUCUUGACUUUAAUAAACUGGUUAUUAAAGCCAAAAUGCAUGCUAAAACAUUGUUUUUCUCUUUUUUUUAAUUUGUUUUUGUAUUCUUGAAAGUCGAAAACCGGGUAUUUCAGUACCAGAUUUGUAUUUUACGACAUAAAAAUAUUGCCCGAUAUUAAUCAAAAUGACAUAAAAACUACGCGGAAAAAUUAUAAAAUGCUGAAACAAAUAUUUUUGAUUUUUUUUUGAAUGGGCCGGGUGAACAGUAUCGUGUGAACAGUAAUGAAUACGGGGUAUUUUAAUACCAGAUUUAUAUUUUUACGAUGUAAAAUACAGACGAUAUUAAGCAAAAUGAUAGAAGAAAACGUGCUUUUUUAAAAAUAUGUAUAUAUAUAUAUAUAUAUAUAUAACUUAUAACAAAAAAAUAAAAAUAAAUAAAUAAAUAACUGGCCGGACCCGACCCAAAUGCAUGGGCCGGGCCGACCAAGCCUAUUUACAUGGGCUGGGCCAAAGGCCCAAACGGGCUGGUUACUGUGCAUCAGCACAGUAACCAGCCCUUCCUUAUUUGCAGAACGUGAAAUAAUUCACGUUCUGCAUGAAGGCACAGCGGAUAACAAAGGGAGGCAGAGGCGGGGCAACAGGAUGGCGUACCUGCGGUGGCGUCGAGGCGGUGCGGCUGGCGGCGGAGGCACGGUGGCCGGCGGAGGCACGGUAGCCGGCGGUUUUCCUUCUCUCUCUCUCCUCUGUUUUUGUUCUCUUCUCUGCCGAUUCUCUUUCUUCUUCUUUUUUCUUUUUCUUUCUGUUUCUCUCGUCUCUCUCUACCCUCUUUCUGUCGUGCAAUCCUUCUCCUUCUCCCCCUCUUUUUUUUUCUUCUCUGCUUCGGUCCCCUUCCACUGUUUUUAUAGGAAAAAAUAGGGGGGCCGAAUGGUGGGGCGGCUUGGCCGCCCCUCCACUAUCCGUUCAAAAGGAGGCAAGUGGGGGUCGAAUGGUAGGCGUCUUAUUGCGCCAAAUCCGGGAAAGAAGUUCGGCGAAAAGUGGAGAAGAAAAAAACUCUUCUCCCUUGUUCUCUGCGUGCGCAGGGAAGAAGACGAUGGUGUCGUUUCAAAACAGCACCGUUUUACGUUUUCUCUCUCUUUUUUUUUUAAAAUAAACAGUGCAUGAAACGACGUCGUUUUGGUCAAAACACGCCGUUUCAUUUAAAAGGAAAAGGCGGUAAAACACGUCAGAUUCAAAUUUAGUCCAUCAAUUUGCGCGCGUUUUACGAUUUCGUCCUUGGUCUCGGAUUUCUGAAAUUAAGUCCUUAAUUGACCAUUAAACUUCAUUCUUUAUGCAAUUAAGCCCCUGAUUUGACCAAAUUAACUUUCAAAAAUUAUAAGUUGACACCAGAACUUUAAUUUCUUCCAAUUCAAGCCCAAAAUAACUCCAAAAUCAAUUGUUUUUGCAAUUAAAACCUCUAUAAAUUCAAUUAAACCUUCAAUAAAAUUUAAUUGAGUCCAUAAACUUCUAAUUUUGCAUUUUUCUUCCUCAAAUUGAAUUUUCUUUAUCAUCGAGGCUCUCAUCAGUCAAUGAUAUACUGUCAGAAAUGAAAUUUUAUUUGUUUGAACAUCCUCAAUCAAUUUUUGAGCAUUUUUAGGGCACUCUGACAUUUUUUUUUUACUGUUAUAUUUUUUGAUAAUAUAUUUUUUUGAAUUGUUUUGUAUUUUUUAGGUGAGGACUCAAAAAUGGGUUACAACAUCGAGCAUACCCUAGUUACAUAACACUAGUUAAAUCUUGACAUAACAGUUCAAGUUAAUUAAUGGCUAGGAUUUUGUUUAGUGGAUUUGUUUUUUGAAAUUAAAUAUCAUAUCAAUAAACAAAUAGCAACUAAAAAUGUAACUAAAAAUAGCAAUAUUUGUUUAAAUAUCAUAUCAAUAAACAAAUGUAACUAAAAAUGUAACUACUAAAAUAGAUAUUUUAUUUUGUUAAUUUUAUUUGAAAAAGCUUUUGAACAUAAGGACUCCAUAUUUUUUUUUUUAUGAUUACUAUAUUGGAUAGGCUUAAUGCCCCGGUAAUAACCAGGAUAGGAGGCCGACUUAAUUAGAGUUGAUAGGGCACAAAUAUAUAUAUAAUGUGCUCCGAUUAAUACAAAAUUAAUUAUAAUAAUAAUUAGGGUUUGUUCUUUUAUUCAGUUUCUUGUUAUCUAUUUUUGGGUUCUCUCACAAAAAAAAUUGCAAGAAAACAAAAAAUAUGAACAAUUGAUUUGAUCUUAUGAAAUACAUGGCAGAAGAGAUUAGAAAAUGAUUUCCAUUUGUCAGAAAUACACCCCAAUAGUCUUAAUUUGAAUUGCACUUUGCACUCCUUUUCCAGCGAUCAAUAGCUAGGAAACCUGUCAGUGAAAUCUUUAUUAUUUGCUCCGGGUUGCUGCUGCUGGUUACUCUGUCACGGAUUAUUAUUUUUCAGUAGUCAGUUAUCCUAGUGCUUGCUUGGACAUGCUCAACAAUGGAGUUCCUCUAAAUGUAAUUACCAAAGUGAAAUCUUCUGUCAAAGUCAUUUCAAGCCGGAAAAGAUCAGGAAAAAGAAGUCUUGAAACAUCAAGCGAAUAGAGCCCAGCAGGAAAAAUUCGUUUCUGACGGUGAGAUUUGUAAUGUGAUCCUAGAUACAAUCUCAUCUCGAUUAGACUCCAGUACUGGAGGAUGUGAUUGCUGAUAUAAAAAAUAAAUAAAUAAAAACACUUAUAUGUUAUUUCUCAGUUCAAAUCUGGUGAUGAGAUUCAUACAGAAGGACUCGUGGCACGGCUGAAGCAGAUCCAAGGUCAAUACUUGAGGAAAAUCUUGGAACCAUUCCAGCUACUAUUAUUUUUUCCAACUAUUAGAUCUUAACAUCAACAGUCAAUAUCGUUGAAAAAAUCAACAUUGAAGCCAUACAAAUUCACGUAAGGGACACACAAACCCCACAAGAAAGAAAGGAAAAGGGCCUCACAAGAAGUAAAUAAAAUCUCACAAUGAGUAAGAAAACCAAACAUAUUGUAGAAUAAAAGUAAGGCAUUGGAUUGAUCGUUCAUUAGCCGUUCAUGAUCAUGAAUCAAAUCAUUACAUAAAUCAUCACCCACGCAAGUAAAAUAAAAAUCAAGGCUUUGGAGAUUGCUUAACCUUUCCAACAGCGUUGCUGUUUCGAUCGGUAGGCUUGAUACUUUUAGUUUUAUCUAUGUUAACACUAUAGGUAAUUAAGAGUUUAUUUGGUAAUGUGGUUACGGUUAUUUUUUAAAUAAUUUUUUGUAUUAAAAUACAUGUCAAUGAUAUUUUGACAUCAGCACAUCAAAAUAAUUUGAAAACACGAAAAACAUAUUAAUUUAAAGUUAAUAAAAAAUUAAAAAAAUUCAAUGAUAUUUUGAUAUUAGCACAUCAAAAUGAUUUGAAAACACGAAAAACAUAUUAAUUUGAAGUUAAUAAAAAUUUAAAAAAAUUUAAAUUUUUAAAAAUAUUUUUAAAAUAUAAAAAGAAACAGGCUCAACCGCGGAAAGUCUUGCAAAACAAAGCAUGUAUAGGGAGGGUGGCAGACACGUAGCUUCGCUGUGAUUUCUUGACAUUAUAUUUUUUAUUGAUUUGUUUUUUUGUAUUUUAUUAUUUUUUAUGCGGACACCCAAAAAUGAGUUACAACAUUAUUUGAGAAUAGACAAAAAAAAAUUUUUAAUUCAGUUAUAGGAUGAUGAAUUCUCUCUUGGUCAUUCAAAUAUCUUCAUAUAGUUUACAUUAUACCUAAUAUUUACUUAUUUUUUACCAUUGAUUAGAAUAAUAUGUAAUCAGGAUCAAAACAUAACACUCCCUAAAUAAAAUAACUUGGUGAUCUCAAGUCCUUUAAUCUUUGGUGCUUCCCUGAAGGUAGAGUUUCAUCUAUGGCUUUUAAUCUUGAAUAAAUUGCCUAAAAAAAAAAAGACUAAAACUGUGAAUUAUAUUUUACUUUAUCAUAAGAUGGUUUAGAAGUUAUGAUAUCGGGUGACAAAAUAGUUGGGACAAUAGUUGAUCUUGCCUCAAUCUUUGGAUGACGUCUUCUUAUUAUGGAAUGGCAUGGUAUAGGGAUUUAUGACAAAAAAAAAGUGGUGUUUAUUCUUCUCUGGUAUAGUUUAGUCUAUUUAGAAUACCUGUAAUAAUAUAAUUUUUAAUGAGAAAGAAACAAAUUAGAAUGGGAUAUAUUAUUUCUUUUUUAAUUGGGCUGUUAUUUGAGCGAAAUAUAAAGAUUUAGAGCUUUUUCUAUACUAGGUUAGAUUUAAUUUGUUCAUCAAAUUAUUUUUUUAUAUGGACUAAAAAUAUAAAUAUGAGAAUUGAUUCUCCAAUAUUAACGCAUCUUCAAAUGACAAAACAGGGUCUUUAAGAAUUGGUGGUGUUUUUAGUGAUAAUGAAGGAAGAUUCCUUUGUAUUUUUUUCUUGUUCAACAGGUAAUAUAGAAUCUAUUGAAAUUGAGGUCUUGUUAAUUUGAAAAGCUAUGAUUGCUACUAUGUUAUUAAUUGAUGAGUUAGAUUCUUACGAUGUCGUUACACGUCAUAAUUAAAGCAUAAAAUGUCGUGCACGCCGAUGCUUGACUUGCGGUUUUCCAUUUUGAUUUUUAAAUACCAGAAAACAGUAAUUUCCUUAUAGAAACUGGUGGUCUCCUCACGACAUUUUUUUCAAAUAACUGUUGUCAGAAAAUGACUAUCCUCAUUAACAGUAAUUUAUUAAUUUUUUUUAAUAUACUUUGUUCAUGUGAGGUUGUGUUUUCAAAAUCUUCCAAGAAAAAAAGGGACUAAAUGAUGAACCAAAUUGAAUUUCACGCUCCUAAUUUAAUAAAUUAAAAUUUUCAAGCUCUAAAGUUAUAUCCUUAGCACCAUACUCUAUUAAGGAAAAGCUCUAAUAUUUUUAUCAAAAGUUUAUAAUUUAAUAAUCCAAUCUUAAAACAAUACUUUAAUUGUUGAUAUAAAAAUUUAAAACUGAUCUAAUCAAAAGAGUUCAAAACUAAAUGGAAAAAAUAAUUAAAAUAUAAAACUAACUAGAAAAGUAAUUAAAAUAACAAAAAUAAAAUCUUUUGAGCUUAAUUUGAAAAGAUUUGUGUGGUGGAUGUUCAAACAUAUAGUUUUGAAACCCGAUCCGGUGAUCGACCCGGUUUAAUGAUCGGGUCACGGGUCCAAUGGGUUGACCCGGGUUAAUCCAGGUCAACCUAAAAAAAAAAAAAAAAAACUAAUUAAAGGGCAUUUUAUGAAUCAGGGGCAGGGCCGGGCGGUUAAAGAGGAAGAGCUUAUAUAGGCUCCAUUGCUAAAUUAACCUAAUGAGGUGAAAUUUAUCUUCCCCUCCAAUUUGAAAAUAUUUUGAUUGAGUUCAGGGCACAGAGCCCUAGACAAUGAAAAUUAGUAUUCCCCUCCUAUUCAACUUGAGAAGAAUCUUGUCCUCACCUAAAGCAUCUCCUACAUUCCAAAGGCUAGAAGUCUGCUUUCUUCGUAUUUGAGCAUCUUUGCCUCUUUUACUCUGAAUAGAGAAGGAGCUGCUCUAGAAUGCCCUCUUUUGAGGUGCAGAUGAGGUGGAGGAAUCGGUUGUGCACAGUUCCUACUGGGAGGUAUAGUAAAGAAGGUAUAAUCAAUUGGUUUUUCAAACUGUAGCAUAGACACUUGUUUGCCACAGUGGGGGUAGGUACUUUUAGUAAUGAUGAAGAUGAAGAUUUCAGAUGAGGAUUUGGAGAGGCCAUUGGCCAUUUCAGAUGAAGAUUUCAGCCGGGUUUCAGCUGGGUUUACCCGGGUCAACCAGGUUUCGGGUCGACCCGCCGGGUCUACGGGGUUUCACCGGGCCAACUCCCAAGCUAGUUUUUUCUUAGACCCAGACCGGUCCUAGGCCAGGUCGGCUGGGUCCCGGGUCGACCCGUUGGGCCGGUCCGGGUUUCAAAGUGUUUUUCGUUGACUAGAAAGUAUUUUCCGUUAACUAACUUUUCUAAUGAUAAACAAAUACAGGAAAGUUUGAAAAAUGGUUUCCCAGAAAUUAGUUUCCGGGAAACAAACAUGGCCUUAGUAGACCUAGGAAGUCAAGUUUUCUAAUUAUCCACGUCAUCAAUCUCGAUCCCAUCAAAAAUUAAUUUGGUCGAAGAAAGAAAAAAAAAAUUAUCAAUUAUUUUCAAGCUUGUGGAACGGGUGUUCCUCCAUUUUCUUGUUUAACUGUUUUCUUUGCAGACUUGGGAAGUCAUAUGUUAUGAACAAUUGAUUUGAUCUUGUAAAAUUUAUGGCAGAAGAGAUUAGAAAAUGACUUCUUCUUUCAAUAAUCUUCUUCUUUGUGAAAUGAUUUCCCGAUACAGCUCUUAAUUUCAACACCUGCUUGCUCUUCUUUUCUUAGUAGACCUGGGAAGUCAAGAUUCCUAAAUAUCCACAUCAUCAACCUCGACCCCAUCAACAAUAGUGCCCACCAGGAAAAAUUAGUUUCUGACGGUGAGAUUUGUAUAGCUAGUAAACAUGCUCAACCAAUAAUCAUAAAUGAUGCCAAAAUUGUAGUCAAAGAGACUUGGAACUCCCUGAUGAUGGUCUCUAGCUCUGGAGGUUUAUUCUGCCAAAAUUGCAUGGGCCGUUUUACAGCCUUCGUAAUGGGCUUGGCUACUUUGGGUAAUUAAAAAAACCCAAAUCGAUAAUGUUUUUUUUUUCCUUCGGUAUCCGUUUAAUCAAUCUUCUGGUUUGAUCCUUGAUAGUGCUGUGUUUUGAUGCUUGUCGAUUAGCCACAAUAAUGUUAAAUUUACAAGGACAGGUCCAAGAAAAGCAAUGCAGGCCUGUAUUGGUCUCUGGGAGUCCGCUGAUAAAGGCUGCAAUCAUUGCUUGAACCCUUGUAAAGGGGCCUUUACACAUGAGGUCCACUGAAGAAGUACAACACCGUUUUUUAUUUAAUUCUUAUGGUUUAAAUCUACUAAUAACUUAGUCAUUUUGCAUGCUAUUUUCCACUUGUUUUGUAAAAUAGAGAAAAGAACAAAGUAAAUCUUUUUUUUUAGUUUAUGGCAUGUUCUCAAAAGUUUUAUUGAUAUUAAUUAAAUAACAAAGACAUUGAUGUAGCUGAAAAUUGAGAACGAGAGGGAUGAUCAGGAAUGGAUUAAGCAAAUUGGGCUUGAAAAAGACCCAACAGCAGAGAAAAAUCUGAAAUAAACUCUUGAUGUUCAAAAUAGCCCACAAGCAAGGCUUAAAUAGUUAGGGCUGAGAAAAUUACCAAAAUAGGUAAAUACUGAUUAUUCAAUAAAUAUAGAAACUUCCUGGAAUAAGUUUGAUAUCCUUUAAUUUUUUUACCGUCUUAGAACAGUUUAUCCUGUUCGAUUCCGCUUUGCUUCGACCGACCACAAUGAUCCCAUAUCCAUCUAUACAAAAAUCGAUUAAGCUGUCCGUUGACACAUUAACUUCUCUGGCUCCAUUCCAUCCUGGAUUAGCAAUCUUUCCCGGAUCAUUUAUGCCCGUUAGAACUGUUAAGCAUGUUGGAUAUUUUGCAUAAUAAGCUCUCGGGUCCUUUAUCCUCUUGUUUGUCCAAUUUAACUUUCAUGGCAAACGAUGCAAAAUGCUAUCUAUCUUUUUUUUGUUUUUUAACUCUGGGUGUCCGGGUCAGUUUACGCGCACCACAACUAAUCUCAGGACCUACUGAACAUCCUGCAAGCUCAGUAGGCAAAUAAAGUACCGCCGGGGUGACAGACUGGUGCACAGCGAGGAUCGAACUCGGGCAAUUGACCACUGAGUUAAACCCUCAAGUGUCAGCCCUACAACUUGGCCUAGUAUUCAAUAUUUUGAUAAGUCAAAUCUUGUACUCAGAGGCGCAACUAAGGGGUGGCAAGUAGGGUCGGGCCCUGCAACCACCCCUACAAAAUAUUUUAGAAUUUAUUUUUAUUUCGUUAGUUAUUUAUAAAUUUAAAAUUGCCUCUUCGUAUAAGUUGGAAAAAAUAAAAGAUAAAUAAUUUUUUCAAUUUAAUUACUUUUCUUUAUUGUUUUUUUAUUUCCAUUCUCUAAAAUCCUAACCAAAAAAAUAUAAUAAUACAAAGCAAAAAGAAAAAGUUAAAACAAAGUUAUCAAUUAAUUCAUUGUUCAUUGAAACAAGAUAAUUAAUGACCCAAAUUUAAAAUCUUUUGUUUUUUUUGUUUGUUAAGAAUUUGCUUAGAUGUAUAUAUAUAUAAUUAUGCUUCUUUUUUUUAUAGAUCUACUAGGUUUAUCAUUUUUUUAUUUCUUGCUAUAGUGAAUGUUGUUUUUUUGUAAUGAAUUGGAUAUAUUUUAUGGGUUUAUUUUGAUUAUACAUAUAUAUUUUUUUGUUUUGUUUUUAGCAGAAUCGUUAAAAUUAUCAAUUUUUUUCUCACAUAUACCUUACUAUCACCAGAUCCAAUAUAUAAUUAGACACGAUUUUUCUAGCCAAAUUAAGUUCUUUGAAAAACACAUGCCUAGUUUUAAUUCAAUUUAAGUUUUCUUUUUUAGAAAUCAAUAAUUUCAUUUUUUAUGUUAGAUUUGUUUUUAUAUAUCUUUUUUUUUAAUAUGUUGAUUUUGCUUUUAUAAGCCAAUAUGGUUUACAUGUAACAAAUUAUAUUUUAUUAUAUUAGUUUUGACCCUUCCUGUUAAAUAAUCUCAGCUACGCCCCUGCUUGUACUGAUGGGUUUGCCUCAAGUAGGCUAUUCUUAUCGUGAAAAUAAGUUCACAAACAACAUUGCAGAUUAAUCUGUCGAGUUCUCAACAAAAAGACAGUCUUACUCCUAUCGAGAUGAUCUUCUUCCUUUCAUGUCUGGUAUUGAUUUUUCUUACAACGGAUUCACUGGCAAAAUCCAACCAAAUUUUGAAAUUGUAAGUGAGCUACGAGCGGUAAAUCUAUCACACAUUAAUCUCAUUGGAUCCAUCCCCGCAACUCUUUAGAACCUGAAGCAGAUUGAGAGUUUGGAUCUUUCUCACAGCAAAUUGACCGGUACGGUACCAUCCCUUCGCAGCUAUUGAGGUGAGCACAUUGGAGGUUUUCAGUGUUGCAUACAAUAACUUGUCCGGUAAAACUCCAGAGAGGAAAGCUCAGUUCGGAACCUUUGAUGAAAGUAGUUAUGAGGGAAAUCCUCUUCUUUGUGGACCUCCAUUGCGAAUUUGCAGUGAAACAAACUCGUAAUUGCGCAGCCUGUACCUAAUAAUGAACAAGAAGAUAAUAAUGGUUUCGUAGACAUGGAUGCUUUCAUUGUGAGCUUUGAGGCAUGUUACAUAAUUGUGUUGUUGGCAAUUGCAGCAGCUCUUUACGUAAAUCCUUACUGGAGAAGAAGAUGGUUUUACUUCAUUGGAGAGUGCUUAAGCAAUUGCUACUGUUUUCUAGUGGUUAAUUUCCGUAAGCUGUCCAACAUCAUGUCAUCGGACCUCUGUAUAAUCAUUCAAUUAGAUGACACAUUUAAAAAUUUUAAAAACUAAUAAUACUAUAACUAUGAAGAACACCUAAAAUAUUUAAUUUUAUUCUUCCAAGUCUCUGCUAAACUAAUGAUACACAAUUGUGGUACUAGCAAUUGCGGGAGUUUUGUACAUAAACCCAUAUUGGCGACAUAGGUGGUUUUACUUCAUUGAAGAGUGCAUGGAGACUUGCUACUUUGAAUUGCAUACAUUUCAUAAGCUAUCCUCCUUCAUAAGGCCAUAGGGUCUGAUGCGUGCCUUUUGUUUUUUCAUAUUUUUUAGUUUGAACUAAUAAAACCUUUACUUUUUUUCAAGCUUCAGUUCAUUUUAUUGCAGUUUCUCAAAUGAAUUCUACAAAUUCAAGAUAUAUAUGCAUCCUUAAUGCCAUAUUAAAAAGAAUAUAUAGAUAGAAGAAGAGGAGCUUUACGUGAUAUGGAUAGCGUGAUGCUCCUAAGCCUAGAACCAGCUAAAACUUAAUAUUAUGAUGAAUAAUUCAGCAAAACUUAAUUCAAUUUCAACUUCCAAUCUCAUCAUUAGUACAAAAUGCAGAGUCAGAUUGAAAGGAAAUUGAUUGGAACUUGAAAUUCAGGUAACAAUACUUCUAGCAGAGCUUCCUCCUUAGCCUCUCCCUAUUGUAUCUUCUUCGAGUGGAACUCUUAGCUUUUUGCCCUCCAAGAUAUAUGUUCUCAUCUUUCUCAAGUACUCUCUUUUCCAUCCAGCAUAAGCAAUCACAACUUACCUCAACGGAAAACUUUAUAGCCAACUUCAAGUCUUCAACCAAUAUUUAAAAGGAAUUUUGUCCUUUGUUUGAUAAGCAAAAUCAACAGAACCUGUCGUUGACUUUCUAGCUCAUAUAUAGCAGUAGCCAUUUUAAGGAGCAGAAACAAACACUGUAGAGAUUUAUCAUCACGAAAAUCUAGUUGAAGCCAACUACAUCAAAACUCCACAGCCAAUGUAUUAAUCUAGUUCUGUAAGCCUACACCUUUGGCAUUUUUAUAUAAACUUAUAUCCUAGCUUAAUAACAAGUAUUUUAGUUACUGGAAAAUAAAUAGAUAAGAUAAUCCUAACUUAAUCUAAAUUAAAUAGUUAACACAAUAACACAAAUCAAAACUCAGGAAACAAGAAACAAGUGUGAAUUGAGUUAAAACAAAUAUGAAAUCAAAUAGAGGAUGGAAAGUUUAUUUUUAGAUCAAGAAUAGCAUGUAUUAAAAAGAUAAUAAAUAAAAUUAGAGUAAUAACAUUGCUACAACUUAUCAUUAAAUUUCAUUUGCAAUUUCCUCUCAAUUUUCUGUAGUUUUGUAGAGACAAAGAUUAGUUGGUCCUUACGGGAAUUUUUCUUCCUUAAUUUCACUCCCAUUUUCCAAACGAUGGAAUUCAUACAACCUUUCGAUUUUAUUUCCACGUAAAAUCCAUUCUUCUGUAUCAAACAGAACAUAAUAAUGGGCCAUAUUUUAAUUUAAAUAUCUUUUUCCUAAUAUUUAAAGCCUUUUUGCUGGGAAAAUGGGGAUUUGAGAGAAAAGACAAUAGAUAAGAAAGGACAUAAAAAAAAGUGAGAGAAAAUGAUGGUGGGUCUUCAUUCUUCAAGGACCGUAUUGGAACUCCUUGGAGGCAUGCGUGAGAGGUGAAAUGGAAAAGUAUAGGGAUCAAAGUGUAAUUUCAAUGAAUAUAUAGGGCUUAAAAUACAAUUUACCCUUAAUUUUUCAUGGAUGACGCAGUCACAAGGGGAGGAUAGAGGUCAUUUCUGAAAUGAUAAGACAGGCAGUGACAAUAAGUAAAAUUUUGUAAAUCAUCAUCAAUAAGAAAUCAUGACGUGGGGACAGAUCAGACGGUUGAUAGUGACUCUUUUUACCCGCUCUCUUUCUCUCCGUGGGGGGUUUUAGGACAGUAUCGCGCGAGAUGCGCGGGUGCCGUGUUCUUACAUUUCCAAGGUGCAUAGUGGGAUCCAUGUCUUUAUCCAACCAAUUAAAAUCUUGUACUCCUUGGGACCCACUCGGUUUCUAGUUUUUUCUUUUUAAAAAAACAAAUUCAUAAAAGCCCUCAACCUUCGAGGCUCCUCUCAAGCUAGUCUCAUCUCUAUCAUAGCAAUAUUAGAAUUUUUAUUCAUUUUUAGUUAACAGAAAAUUUAAGUAAUCACUUGAAAUUUAUAUGGUUUUUUUUAUAUCACUUGAAAUUUAUAUGGUUUUUUUUAUAUCACUUGAAAUUUAAGUAAUCACUUGAAAAAAUUCUCAUUUUAAAUCGCUUGAAACUAAUUUUAUAAAGAAACACAACCAUCUUACAUUUUUAUAAUUUAUAUAAUUUGUUUAAUUACAUUAAAAAAUGAUAUAAUAAGAUGAAGAGAAAUCACAUAAAUGUUUGAUUUUAUAGCCCUUUAAAACAAACUCAUCAAAAUAUUUAAUCCAAAUUAUAGACUCUAAUAUGAAUAAAUAGAACUGGGCUAACUAAAAAAAAGCAUGUUCAUGUAAAAUGACUAGUCUGACUAAAAAAAUCUAAAUUUCAUUUCGACCUUUAAAUCAUUUUUAAAUUUAAACAAGAGAUUCUAGGUCUCAAUUCUAUAAAAAGGUGGCCUCGGCUUGAUGUUUGAGUCAAUUUCAUUCUAGUCUGCAUGGCAAUGGUCCCACUCAAUCGCAGUAUCCACAUGAGCAGAGUCUAAUGAACUACUCAACAUGCAUUUGGUUCUGGUAAUUCAAUUAUGCGAAGGGUGUAGGUUCGAAUUCUUCGACUUAAACGAACAUGUUUGCGUAAUUAAGUGUUCAAUCACGUACUUCGCUAUUGAAAACAUUUAGAAUUUAUCAACAAUUCAAUUAAGCAGGUAUAUACAGACUUCCAACAUCUGUAGAUAUCAUUGAAUCAUUAGUGAACACUGAGUAGACCGAGAUCCAGAUCAAAAUGUGUCACUUAAGCUCUUAAUAUUACAGAAAACUUACAAUUGCCCUGAUGGUUAGCACAAAAGACCGGCUUGGAGUUCAGACUAGCCAAAUUGCCCAACUCUUUAAGCCUGAAUUUUAUCACCAUCAUAAAAUGGGGAAAUUAGUUUAGAUAUACAAGGCGAAAUGGAAUUAAUUACCUCACAUUUUGAACUUCAGAUUGGUAAUGCAUGACCACUUGCAGGUCCUCCUAGUGUUAGAACCACACCUUGAAGAUCACUUCUUGGAUUUGAUUCUUUGGCUAAUGAUGGAGCAGCUCUGAUUACCGGAUAUGUUCUGGUCACUUGAGUUUGUCGAGAACUAUGACUGGAUUCUUGUCCUGAGAAUGUUGUUGGAUGAUGAGAAGGCUUCAAGGUAUCAGUAUGAUUGGAGUUUGGAAAUUGAUGAACAAUGGGGAUUUGAGUUGCUGGUGAUGCAUGAUUUUGAGCUAGAAUUGCCCCUCUCGAUACGAAACCAGGUGCCUGAUAGAUAAAAUUAGGUUUCAAUUCGAGUUCGAAAUAUACUGCAACUGAGGAAGUAAUGAGGAGCUUACAGGUGAAAACAAGACCCCUCUGAAAAUCUUCCCAUUAACAGUUGCAGUCAUUAAAAGGCCUGAGUCGAAGGCUCCGUCAACUUUACCUCGAACUUCAGCACCAACCUAUGGAGAAAGAGAAGAAAGUGAAAAGCAUGUAUUAGCAGAACAGGAAGAAAAACAAAGACAGGAAAAAUUGUAAUCGACAAUGUUUUGCAUUGCAUAUAUCAACUUAAUGAUUUACCAGGUUUUGAAUACACCCUGGCUCCAUGGGUUUAUGUUCCACUGCUGGGAAUGGUGUUCCUUGCCUGCCCAACCCUGCAUGAACAUAUUGCUCUACUCUUUUAUUCUCUCUUGAAAUUUGGAGCCUUUGCCGGGUUUUUUGGAUCACAAGUCUAGGUAGUUUCUGAUUACUUGCAACACUAUCAGCCUGGUAAUUUCUUGGAAUUUUGUUUAACUGCCUAAAGAAAUUAAGUCCUUUGCAAGAUGUGAGGGAAUCAACUGAUUUCUGAACCGGUAUCUGUUCUUGGUCGGACUGAGACGGAGAUGAAUGGUGAGAGGGUGAAAGAGAAUGCUCUUCUUGUUCUAAAUCAAUCUCCCAUGCUUUUGAAUUUGUAGGUCUUAUCUUCUUAUGAUGCAGAGUAUCUGAAAGGAACGUUGUAGGUUUUUGUUAUUAAUACUACCUGAACUGAACUGAAAAGGUUGCUUUGAUUCUUCUGAUUCAUAUGAGCCCUUCAUGUCUAUUUCAUUGUUUCCCAGAAACAUUGACUGCUUCACAGAACAAAAUUAAUAACCCUCCCAACUUGAACAGGCAUAUUUAACAGGAGGUCAAGUGUUUGCAUUUUGAGAGUAAAUAGUUUAGUUACCGAAAUAUCUUCUGCUCCUGGGAGAAAUCUCUUUUCUUGAUUCCAAUGUUGUCCAAAGAUCUUGCACAUGGGAAUGUUGUAUCGACCAUUGGGAUGUUCUGCUCCAAGUUGCAAGACCAACAACUGAUUGAGAGGACGCUCAUCCUCUCUGCACCUGCACAUACAUACACACACACAUACAUACAUAUAGAAUUGAAUUAGGAGAUACAUGAAGAUUAUGGGAGGCAGUGUUGAGAACAGAAGCUGCAGAUGCGAAACAAAAACUUUCAGUUACCCUCCAUAGAUGACAAUAUCUGAGUCGGUGACAACCGCAGUGUGAGAAAACCUCCCUUGAGGUUGCUGGCCAGAUAUAUCAAGUUGAAUCCAUGAACAAGUACUCACAUCAAGCACCCAAACAUCAUUGUAGUAAUGUUUGUCCCCAACACCUCCAAUGACAUAAAGCUGCAGACCAUGGAAAGCACAUUAAAUCUCUUUCCAAAAGCCAACAAUUGAUAAAGGAGCAUCGAAGAAUCAAAGCCUUCAAGCAAAAACAGGUGAGCAUCAAUAGCACAGACAACAGAAUAGGGUAUAACAUUCCGAAGAAAAACUAGUCUAAUUUUCAAAUCUAUUUCAGUGCCAUGACUUGCCUUUGUUCCAAUAUAUAUAUAUAUUAGAGAUUGGUUGGUUAUUUAAAUUAAUUAUUGAUAUCCAUCAUUUUUUUAAUUCAAAGUUUUCUCUAUAGUUUAGGAAGAACGAGAAAUUUUAGAGAUUGAGAAACCCUAUAUUUUAUCCUUUGUUAAAUGUGGCAUCAAGUUAGGAGUAAGCCUUCUAGUUUAAUAGAUCAUAGAUAUAACACAAAUAUCUAUGUUCAUGUUAAAUAUUAAUGAACAAUGUUAUUUGGAUUUCUGUACUCUUAUAAUUGUUCAUUUGUAGAAUUGAUGGAGGUUCUUCAAUAGUUCUUCCAUGGAAUAGUUUAAAGAUCAGAUUUUAAUUACCUUCAGCAGGUAUGGUGCUAUGGAAGUCGACUCCGGUUAAGGAUAGGACUUUAAGAGUAGACAAGGGUCUCAUUUUCCUAAGAAAGCUUGCUGGGAGAGAAGAAUAAUCGAGGAACACUUCUUCCAGGCUAGACGAAUUACACAACCCUGUAGAACAGAUAAAAUAAAUCCAUUAAUAUAUUAUAAAUAUCAUAUUGUUUUAGGCACCAAAACUGUCACUGACCUUUCCCAAAGUGUUUAAAUUUACUACCACUUGCUUGUAAGGUCUUGAGGGAUGGCAACGCUCCCAAUGACUCUAUCAAAAUGCUUUCCUUGAAGUCAAUCAUUUCCAGAUACAAGAUUUCUAAAUUCCUUAAACCUGUGAUAUAGAGAACAAUCAAUAAUAAUUAUUUACAAUAAUUAAAUAAUUUUUAAUGUUAGAGUUAAUAUAUACAAGACAUAGCUUAAGUUAUUAAAUUAAAAUAAUUUUUAAUAUAAUAAUUAAAUAUUCACGAGAAUCAUAUCACCUUUAUUUAUUUUAAAAAAUUAAAAACAAAAUUAAUUAUGUGUAUAUUUAAGUUUCAAUUACUUCAAAAUUACUUCACUUAAAAAAUUACGAUAAAGAAUUAGUUAUAUAAAGCCUUUUUAAAGGUUCAUUUAAGCAAAUUAAUGGUCAAUCACACAUCUAAUUAUUAAACAAGUUAACUAAAGAAUAGAUUAAGCAAAAACAAUAUAUAUAUAUAUAUAUAUAUAUGUUCAACGAAAGUUAUGAUUAAGACACAUCUAAUUAUUAAAUAAGCUUAAUAAAAAAUAAAUUAAGCCUCACUAAAGACAUGCGCAGGUUCCGAGAACAAGUUGACUCUUGUCAAGGUGGUGAGCUCGGUGAAGGCAUUGUAAUACUCAGAGUAUGAAAAUAGAUAUGGAUCAACCUUUAAUGGGUUGCCCCCAUAGGUAAAGGUGGAGAGCUACCUGGACUCUUGAGACUAAGAGUGAGAGACUCACAGAGAAGUAAGGCGUGGUUCCUAGGGUGGAACAGAGGGCAGAUGCAACUCCUGGGUGAGUAGACUCUUGGAAGUAUGGUGAGCUCGUGAUCAUAUUGAGAUACUCAAAUAAUGACUGUCGCACUUGGAAAUGGAAAUUUCCGUUUGAGGGGGUGUUGUAAGCCUUGGUGUGAGGCUUGAUGAAUCAUUCCGGACCGAGCAUGGUUAAUACGCUCGAAGGGGAAUGUUGUGUCCCAGAGACAAGCGUGAACACUCUUCAGAUGUGAAGUGGCAGACCAUCUGGUUGUAGUGAUCCUUUUGUGUGAGAAAAGGUGUACUUUGGUGACUCUGGUGAUUGAAAGGUGUGGCAAGUACCUGUAAACUUGGCCGGAGAUGCUCUCGGAAUGGUAAGCUUGGAAGAGUUGCAAGAUGCAAGCUUGUGCUAAAGAAGUAAGCGGGCAACUGCCCAACAUGAAUGGCAAAGGGGGUGAUUGUUGGGUUGGUUGCCAUUGCAUGUGCAACCUACCCUAUAAAGAAGUAGGGUUACCAUUUGUCAAUGGUGGUUGCACCCACCAUUGACAAAUGUAUCAACCCAUGUGCGGCUGCUGUUAUUGAAGAAGAAGAGCCACCAUCCUUGCCUAUAAAUAGGCACCAAGAAAGAGAGCAAAAUGAGAGAGUUGUGAGAAUGUAAAGAGUGUGAAGAGAGAAAGAAAGAGAAGGGCUGCUGCCUUAUGCAGCUGCUGCCCUAUGCAGCAAUGAGAGAUGGGAGUUGAGUGGAUGUGAUCCUCCUCCAUGUUUGUAUUCUUUCUCUAUCUCUAAAUAAUAUAGACUCUCUCCCGUGGAUGUAGGCGAUCUGCCGAACCACGUUAAAUAUUGUGUCAGUGUGCUUGCUUUUCGUUGAGCAAUUAUCAGUACAUCACCGGUCGGAGUUUCCCCAACAUUCAUGUACGCCUGAAAGGAGCCAUGGAAUUUCAACAAUGCCAUCUCCAAGGAGCCAUGGAACUUUAAAGUGGGAUGUCGUGUACGCCUGAAUUGUAUAGUGACAAUGGUGGAACUGAUGCGGUUGCAUAGCACCAACCAGUACUUUCCUAAUGAUUUCCUUGCGGAAAAAAUUAAGGCAUGUUGGAAAACGAUGCCACCCUAACAAUUAAUCCAAGAGUUCAAAUUCAACUUGAAUAAAAGCACGAUAAAUGGAUAAUUUAGAGGAGAAAGGAUCCAAGAACAUCAUGAAGGGAUGGUUCUAUUUUGUUACGCAACAAUCUCAACAGCUAAUUAAGAGGUUAGAUUGUAGGGUCUAAUUUCAAGUGCAAGACUCUAUUGAUUCUCAUCAUUAUAGUAAUAAAACCAUGACCAUUUUUAUUAAAUUAAGAGGAAACACAAAAUUAAACAAGAAAAUCUUAAGAGUUCAGAAAUAAAUCUAACAUUGUCGAACAGACUGUGAGCAAACCCAGAUUUGGUGGAAGAUAGAAAUAUGAAGAGAGAGCAGAAAUUGAUGGUCUCCUUGUUUUUCAUGGUCUCCUUGUUUUGCAUUUAAGGUUCGGCCAUCUAAGCUUCUCAUUGGGUUUUAAUUUCCUGAGUUAAUUUCAUCAUGGCUGGACUUGAAUAUCUCUAUAUAUACACUUAAGGCUGGGUGAGCUUGUCUCUUUAGCAGGCCUUCUUAGGCUUUUGUUCUUUCAAACAAUGUCAGCUCUAAGCCCAUUAUUUUACAGAAAAGGUAAAAUACACUUGUCAUGGCUGAUUGAAAUCGUGGAAGAAAAAACUAGAGGAAAGAUAACCGAUUGACCCCCAACGAAGACCAAUGCAGAGGAAUUUCAAAGGGGAAAAAAGGUGGCGGCUUUAUGAUGCAGUUCAUCUAAAGAUAAACCUAAUCUGAAUUAAUUGUUCGGUCUCCUUCAAAGCGAAAUAACUUUGCCAGGUUUCCUCCCAGUGACAUUACAUUAUUAAAGUUAAAAGCGCUGAAGCACAAUUCAAAGACAAUAAGUAGUAUUAAACUUAAUAAGCUAGUUCAAUGGAGGAGAAUGGUGUGCUGAAACACUAUGAUUUUCAAAAAAAUUGAAGCAUAUCAGAUCCAUGCUGCUGCAUUCGCAAGAAACGAGCACCCAUCAACAAUGUGCUAAAUGUCAAUGCAGAGCUUUAAAUCAUCUACAGAGGCUCAUGAAGAAAAUAGGCAUAAAUGAUAACAGAUAACACACCAGAGCACUCUACGUAAACUGAUAUCUUUAGAAAAUUCAAAGGCAUGAAUGAAAAAGAAAAGCGAGGAAUAUCUAAGUCAACUCUUAAUUUGUAACAGUCCACAACUUCAUGUUUGGUGUGUACUGUAAACCAUGCUCUCCACAUAAUCACGAGCUUCAUCUGCAAAAAACCAUUUUCACUUCUGGGGACAAGGGAUCAAACAAAUAUAAACCUGUUGUUGGAUUACAUUCAUAAUUUAUAUCAAGCCCUAGCUGCUGCUCGAAGGUAAGAAUUGGCUGGUUGCUCAGCACAACAUAACUGAUACAAACAAUUACUGAUACAAGCAAAGGACAAACACAAGUCACAUCAAAACAGAAAGGCUAAGCAACAAGAACACUUCUCACAGGCAAAUUGCUAAACAUGUAGUUAGCAACCAUUGAUUUGGAAUGCGACUGCUUCUCCACAGAGGAUUACAACAAAUUCAGAAAGCAGCCCACACGCUCCUGAUAAGAUCCAAUCACCUUCUGAAUCUGGACAACUUGGGAAAGUUUAUAGCCAAAAAGCAGCAGCAAGUGUCAAUGCAUUCUUCAAUGAAGUAAAACCAUCUGCGUCGCCAAUGCGGAUAUAUGCACAGUACUGCUGCAAUUGUCAACACCACAGUUAUGUAACACCCACCAAAGCUGGCAUAGAAACUGUCCAUGUCUAUGAAGCCACCAUCUCCAUUGAAAUCGUUAGGCACUCUAGCGGAUGGUGAUUCUGUUUUGUCGCAACUUUUUUGCAAUGGAGGUCCACAAAGAAGAGGAUUCCCUUUAUAACUGCUCUCAUCAAAGGUACAAAUUGAUUUUUCAUCUCCGGUGUUCUUCCUGACAAAUUAUUGUACGACACGUUGAAAACUGCUAAAAGGUCAGUUCAACGAGUUGUGCAGGAAUUCUCCCAUUCAAAUUGUUGUGAGAAAGAUCCAAGCUCUCUAUCUGCUUCAGAUUGAGAAGGAUGAAGGGAUCAAUCCAGUGAGAUUAUUUGUGACAGAUUUAGAGAAUAUAUCCCACUUAAGUUUCCCCAUUCUGUCGGGAUUUCUCCAGUGAAUCUGUUACAAGAAAGAUCCAUAACAGACAUGUAACGAAGGAUAUCGCCUUCGUAAGUGUAGAAAUUUUUCUUUGUGUAAGCUCUACAGAUAUUUUUACACUGAUCUCUGGCACAAAGUUUUGUAUAAGAUAAAAAGCCACGUUCAAAAAUUCUUUCAGGUUCCAUCAUCUUUUGAUCGUAAAGUUAACCAAGUUUUUUCAUCUGAUGCCGUAAAAUUUAAAUUGCUCAAACAUGAGGGUAACAGACCAGAAAAAUUAUUUUCUGAAAGAUCCAAUAUGCUUAAUUUCCUUAACAAGCAUAACUGAUGAGGAAGUUUCCCAUUGAAUUGAUUAGAUUUGAGAACAAAAAUGCUCAAUUCCGAAAGGCUAUCAAUCCAAUUUGGAAUGGGCCCAGUUAAGUUGUUAUCGCCGAGAUCUAAUGUCACCAACGAAGAGAGAUUAUAAAAAUCAUAUGGCAGUGGACCGCUCAAUUGAUUUCCGUAAGGUGGACAUAGCGUAAAUCUGAUGCAUGGAAGCCCAACGGUAAUGACCCAGACAGAUUGUUUUCAGAAAGAUCUAAAAAUUCAAGCCCAGAAGAAUUGAAAUAUUCUAUUGGAAUGGUACCUUCAAAAUGAUUUCUGGACAAAUCAAUUCCCUCAAGUGUUUUUGAAGAGUUCCCAUUCCCCUUGGAAGCAUGCCUGACAAAAGAUUGUUACUGAUAACCAACCACGAAAAUGAUGAUGCAAGAGAAAAGGUACCCGAUACUUGUCCUGCAAAUUUGUUUCCAUCGAGAAAGAGGUAGUCUAGGUGAGUCAUGUUGAACACAGAUGGUGGUAAUCGCCCAUUGAAGCUGUUGUUGGACAGCUUCAAAAACCACAAUGAGGAGCCUACUGUUGGCAAAUUAUGCUCAAGCAGUUCACAAGACAUGUGAUUGUUGGAAAGAUCCAAGUAUUCGAGAGAGCUCAUAUUCCCAAAACAAAGAGGAAUACAACCUGUGAGGCUGUUGUUGGCCAUCAUGAAGUUCUUCAAACGUGGAAAAAUCGAACAUAUGUUUCUUGGAACUUGACCAUGUAUGUUGUUGCCAGACAUAUCUACUGUCUGAAGGUUGGGUGUUGGAUGUUGUGGCAGCUGCAAAGGACCUAUAAAUGAGGUGUCUCUCAAAUAUAGUCGAUUUAACUUUCUAUUAUUCUCAAACAGCCAAGAUGGGAAAGGUUCUCCAACGAAUUUGUUGUGGGAUAGAUCAACAAACAUCAAAUCAUGUUGGCUAUGGAGGAAGUUUGGAAAUCCAGCCUCGAGUGGUUUUGGAGUACAGUUUGAAGCACUAAAAACACGAAGCUGGAACUUGGGAGCUGAAAGCUGAAAACUGGGUGCAGCUAUUAGCUCAUUGUUAUCGCAUUCAAAGAGCUUGAG
rnacentral:lncRNA from 1 species